UGUGUCUCUCUUUAUAUUCCAAUAAGGUCGGUGAUCUUGAUGCCACACACUCAGAUGUGUGUUCAUCUCCAGAUACUACUCCAUGCUACCUGCCCUUUGUGUUUUGUUCAAUAACUGGGUAUCAUAUCCCAGCCAGUAUGCCGUCUGUUUUGUGUUUGUUUCCUUCUAGUUCCAAAGGGGUCAUCAUGAUGUUACCUUCUUUCAAUAUGGUGCUUUGCAUGACUACUGUUGUAUGGUACCAUCUUGUGGCCAAUAAGUACAUCUUAUCCUAUGACCUUUGCUAUGACCCUUUGCAAAUAAGUAGAAGAUUGUUAUAAGCGUCAAUACUCCGUAUAAAUUGAUCGCUGCUGUGAGUUCCCUUUCAGCUUAUCGUAGGCAUACAUUAUUGCUAGCACGGUAAAGCCAACCAACACGAAUGAUGAAGUAAACGUAGCGGUACUUCUGUAUACCAACACCCUUACUUAAAUGUACCGGUGUCAUUCCCUACUGGCACAUAUAUUCUUAUAUGCUAGCCAGCUUGUAAAAUUAACCAAUUAAAAUAAUUAUUUCAAGAUAGAAAUAACUUAUCGGUUUCUGGAAGCAUGUGUAAUGUGAAUUCAAGGACUCGACGGAAGUUGAAUCACUUCAUCUAUAUUGCUUUCAGUAUUUUGGGUAACUAAAUUUAACAUUUGCACAUACAAAUGUUAAAGUACAAAUGUUAAAUCUAGUUACCCAAGCAGAAUAUGAAGAUAGUUUAUAGUAUAUAUAUACUAUAUAAAUCUAGUUAACAUUUAGUCUAAAUGUUAAAUCUAGUUACCUAAAAUCCUGAAAGCAAAAUGUAUAAAUAUAUAUCUUUUAAGGCAGUAUAAGCUUCGAUUCCUAUUGCUGCUCUGUUAAAUCUCAUCUUUCGUUGUGGCCCAACACUCUAGUAUGCAUGUUGCACCAAGCUUCUUUGAGCCGCUCUGCCCUCUGAUUUUGCUGCGUAGGGGAAUCUUUAUCAGGUUGGGCUACUUCCAGUUGUGCGAUGUAAAGAUUCGUAUUUUCUAGAAGGUAGACAAAAAACUCGCGUUCUCUUAAGGCAACAACCGGAAGAUUCUGCAGCGCACAGGGCAUACCAUUAUUGUAGAAACGACCUUUAGUACCGAUCUCCAACCCCCUUUAAAACUGGUUUUGCAACCGGUACCGUUAUGUCGGUCCUUUAGUACCAGAUCAAAUAAGUACCGGUUGGUAACCAGUAUCAACUUGUUUUGCGGCCAAAAAAAUAAAGAAAAAAACAGUCAGAAGGCUCGCGCACACGCGCAUCACAUGAAAUAUGCGUGUGCGGGGUCCAUGGGAUUCGAACCCAUGAAAUCAAGCUGCGCGCGACCCUUCGUUACCAUCUCACCUACAUAGCGCAUAUGCUUUCCUGAAGUAACCCGUGGAGGAGGCUUUAGUACCGGGUCAUAACACCACCCGGUACUAAAAAUGACUCUUCAGUACCGGGUCAUAACACCACCCGAUACUAGUAUCGGAUGGUGUAAUGACCCGAUACUAAAAGGCCUCUAGGGACCCUCAAAUUUGAACCCGGUACUAAUGCUAAUAUUAGUAGCGGGUCAAAGUGCAGCCAGAACUAAAGCAUGGGAUGAAAGGUCAUAUUUCUAGUAGUGUAUAGUUGUUGUGAAGGACUGACUUGGCUGUCCUCUCUCUUCUCCAUCCCCUUGGUCUUACGCCGCCGCUCGCACGCGAGCCGGUGCCCAACCAGAGGAGUGAGAGCUAGGGGCAGGUUGGGAGGUGGGGAUAGUGACUGGUGGCCAGGGUGAUGGUUGAUCCUGGUGGGGUUAGGGUUUUAGGGUUUUCGAGCUUCCUAUGGUCGGCGAACCUAGAGGAGGAGCUCAACAUCAGCUGCAACCCGCGAUGGUGGUGGUUUGGCCGGCGCCCGAGGCGAGGCAGCGCGGGAGUGCUGCCGGUGGGUUGGUGUUGGCACUCAUUAUUGACAACUAUUUUGUUCAUAAAAUAACACUCAAACUUGCUGCUGCUGCUGCUGCUGCCAUCGCCACCCUAGCCAUAAUAUAAAGGCAAAAUUUGCUAAAGGACAUGCAAAAUGAUGCUAGUUUGCUGGCGGGCAUCGUUGACCUUGUAAUAUGCUACAAGACACUCUAGUUGUGUAUCAAUUUGCUGAAAGACAUUGCUAUGACUAAAAUAAUGUUUCUGGACUGAGUUGGAGAGAGAGAUGGAGUGAAAUGUCUGUUUUGCCCAUGACCCCACUGGUCAGAUCCUUCUUCUUCCACCCUCCUUUGUUCUUUCUUCAACCAUUACCCAGCUCCAGCGUGUUGCAGAUCUACGAGGGUGGCGGCCUGGGGCGAGGGGCAUCGCUCGCCCUUGGAGGAGCGCUGCGAGCGACGGCGCGGGGGCGGCAACAGCGCGUCAGAACCUGACUGUUCGUUAGCUCCUCUCGCUGCUGGGGAAGGAGGGGGAUGGGCCAUGGACGGGGUUCCCUUGAAAACCUCAGCGUCGAGCUCGGGCGGCUACGCGCAGGCAGCACUAGGCUGCUUCACGGGGAGGGGGCGCGGCCAAUCAUUGGCACCCCACUGGUCCAAUGCUGAUGAAGAUGGUGCCAGCGUCGUGUGAGGACAUCUCAUCUCCUCGAGUUCCAUGGCCAGCACAGGUGAGCUGCCGCUACCACAAAACAGAGGUUUCGUGAGAGUCAAAAAACCUUAUGAAAAUAGCUAAAACCAUCAUGAAAAUAAUCCGUGACAUGACACUCUCACGAAAAUCCUCUCACAAAUAUGGUGCCAUGAAAAUACCAUUUUCAUGAGAGUGAACUGUCAUGAUUUUAUUUCGUGAGAGUAUUUCCUAUCAAUGACCUCCACGAAAUACUUUGUGCCACCAGGUCUUCAAGAUCAUUUUCAUGAGAGCUGAACAUCAGGAAAAGUCCGCCACAAAUGUUUUUCUUGGAGCCCCUAACUCUCAUGAAAAUCAUGCGGGCCGCCACGAAAAACAGCAUGACCAAAUGACAAAUUUCAUUUUCAUGUGUUCAUACCGCCAUGAAAAUGGUCAUUUUCAUGAGAGUUGAUGAAACAAAAAAUAGUGCCAUUUUCAUGAGAGUUCAAGCAACCAGGAAAAGACACUAAUAAACAUCCAGAUCCCAUCCAGCACACAUCCAUGCACAUAUAUAACCCACAUAUUGCUCCAGCACACAUCCAUGCAUAUACAAGAUCCAAAUGUUAAUAUAGUAGACAUCCAUGCCUGAACUAGUCUGCCACACAAGUCAUUGAUGCUACAAAUCCUACAAUCGCAGCAUGUGCAUACAAGUCACAGAAUGAGACAAUGUACCCAAAACUAAAAGGUUAGCAUCAACUGUGCUUCAACCAAAGUUGUCAUCCCAACUCUCCUCUUCAUCCAUGCCAUUCUUGUCGUGGCCGUCACUGUCAGUCCCCAUGGCAUUGCCAAUGCUGUGCAUGUCUUGGUAGGAACCUACAUGUGAUGAACUAGUAACCUGCAAAAAGAGCUCAAAGGAUCUUGUUCUCAUAUUGUAGCUGUGAAAUUCUUACAAGUAGUGUUGCAAUCAGUUCACUUUGAACCAAAAGAGCUCAAAGGAUCUUGUCCUAAAAGUUCCUCAUAAAGCUUAUGGGUUUGCUGGUGGAACUGGAAGGGCUUGAUGCAGCAGAUGCCAUUCUGCAAUAGAGAAAAAUUUAGAGAGCAGUACUAGUUAAAAUUGGAUGCAGAAGAUACACAUGAAACUAGUAUUUAUACAAGUCUAUACAAUUAAAAUCUAAGGAGACUUAUCAUCGUUUUCAUGUGUUGUGAAUUAAAAUAAUGAAGGAUACACUGUUAGGUGAAAAUUCAAGAAACAAAAUUUUGCAUAGAGAUAAAGGUCCAACAUUAUUACAAGUUAAGGUAGUUUUAAAUAUCCUUGUAAUCUUCCUUUGGUUUCCUCAACGAUUCGAAGACAAUAACCUUGCUUCUAUCAAUGAUAAUUAUAAGGAGAAUCCAGUGGAAACUGUGUAUUCGUAUUAGAACUACCUAAGGUUAAUUAGGUUAGGAAAGGAAAUUGAAAAUAGAUGGUACCCACACUUACUUAAAGUUGUCGGGCAAUAGUAUGUAAUGCUUGUAAUUCCGUUGCUCCAAGAAUUUGUAUAUGUGGUCCAAUGUAGACUUUGGUUGAUCCCGUAUCUGCUGUUGGUUAAAUAAGUGUUUCUAGCCAUUUCUAGCCAUUAGAACCGGGACUAAAGGGGGCUCUUUAGUACGGGUUGAUAUUACUAACCGGGAUUAAAGAGCCCCCAUUAGAGUUGGUUUUUGGAUGCGGAACUAACAACUCCUUUAGUCCUGAGUACGAAAACAACUGACAUAUUUGUUGCUGGAUGGAAGGUCCUUUCUCUACCGUGAAUAUUGCCAGAAAGAAUUGAAAGAGACUGCUUGCUAAAAAUAUGUCAUAGAUGUAGACCAAGCUACCAAGGAGGUAGACCAAACAUGAUACACACCAUGCGUACCUUGCUGUGCAGACUAUGCAUUGACAAGAUACCCGACCACAUGUUGGCCUCGGUCACAUCAAAAGAAUCAUGUAGGCCACCAAUAAACUACUUGAAGCGGCAUUCCGUAUCGUAUAUGCAUUGCCGGUUCAUCUGCAUUACAUUACAUAAAGCACUAUUAACUAUUUGAAUAAAAUGAACCAAUUUAAAAGUAAUGUGUUGUACUCUACUAUAGAAAGCCCUAUCACUGCCGGAUCCAAAAACAUCAUUGUUAAUGGUGGUUAAGUACCAAAUAUGACGGUCAAUAUUCUCAAGAAUAAUGGAGAAUUAGCAUUUCUUAGACACAUAUUUGGUUUUGAACAAUGUAGUUCCACAUGUCUUUGGAGAUUAUUUGGGUGUGGGUGAAAUAAUACAAAAAUAAGGAGAAAACACACUCCCAUGGCGAAGAAACACAACUCCAACCAAUGAGAGAUAGCCACAGGGGCAGCACACGGAUCCAUGGGCCCACUAACCGCAUCAAACCAUCUUACCAAGGCAGGUAGCACCCACAACCGUCAUUAGGACCCACCUGGAAGUCUACCAAGAAGAAGGUUGCGAGUGGGGCCAGGAGGGGUUCGGUUGAAUCAUCUCUAGCUAGCUCCCCUCAUCCCCAGCUGGUGGGUGGUGGUGGUUGAUGGUGUCCCUACAUCAGUUAGAGGAGAUUCCCCCAAAUAUUCCUCCUGUAAACCACCUCUAUGGACCUAUACAUAGAGGGGUGUGCUCUCCAUUCCAACACACACCACAAGUUGAAUCACUCUCUCCCUCUUUAGUUUCCAAGUUUAUGGAGUUAGGCUAGAGUAGCUCUGCUCAAGGUUCCAAGUCCACUUGGAGUUAAGCAUAUGUCUCUUGUAUCGUUAUUUCCUAAAUUGACUUUAUGCUUAGUUCUUAUAUGCAUGAGUUAGUCUAAUACCCUUGCUAUAUUGAUAUGCUCGGCUUAUAUGCUCGUAUGCUAGUCAUAUACCCUUGCUGUCGUAGUAUAGGCUUAUAUGCUCUCAUGUGUGCCUGUAGACCUUGCUAUAGUAUAUACUUGUUGUGCAUACAUACCAUGUAUAGGCUAGUCGAUCUAUACCAUGGCAUUGGUUCAAUAGCCAUGUUUUUGGUGGCUCCAACCCUAGUCACAAUAGCUCGGGACAGCUGGAGUGUUGUUAAAAAUGCAAGAGUGGUGCUUGGGUUGUUUAGCAUCGUUGGAUAUGGGUUUGCCCCACGGGUUUCUAACGGUAGGCGGCAGCUAGUGACAUCCCUGUCCGUCCUUCGUAAUCCCCCCACAUUCAGGUACGCCAUAAAUGUUCGUAAAUUAGCAGUAACUACGCCGGUACACCUGUAGGGUAUUGUCUCCCUGUAGUACCUUGGUGCAUAGAACUAAGUCCUAUACACUGUGUGUGUAUGUUUACGCUGAUAUGAUCUGUGCAGUAUAUAGGAUGUAUAUAUGAACCUAGAGCUAACUCCUAGUCCGUUCUCCAUAGCUUAGUUAUCUUGAGAUGAUUCUUCUGUAUGUGUAACACUACCCAUCUUAUCAUUAUCCUUGAUCCUGUCUUGUGUAAUAUAUCUACUCAUCCUAUGAUAUACUCAUAUGCAUAGUAAACUAUUUUGACCUACCCGCCUUCCUUUGGGAAAUAUGAUACCUUGGAAUAAUCCUAGGUGAAAUCCUACAACGGUAUAUCCAUGUAAAUGCGGAUUUAUUCAUGACCAUUAAAUAUACCAACAAUCAUCACUGUGAGUUUUGGGCGUCGUUAGUGAAGGGUUGGUAGUGAUGGGCAUCCCCUUCACCAAUGGACCUGGAACCGGCGGUGAUGGCUAUUAUAAAAAAGGGGACACCACCCAGCGUACCCCACGACCCGGCCGGCCGCACCUCCCAUCAUCCCCGCCAGCCGCCCUUCCUUUUCGCCGGCCGAGCAUGGUCCCGGCCUUUGUCCCUACCACCUCGCCUCCACCGCGACCCCCCGCCGAUGCCCUCGUGCCUGGCCCCCCUCAUCUUGCCGGCCACCCUCCCGAUGCGUCCACUGGGGCCCUCGCACCACCAACCGCCCUUGCUUAGAGAGGGAGAGAGAGGAGGGAGGUGAGGCCACGCACCUCGUCCUACACCGCCGCUGUUUCUCCUCGGCCCACCGCGCCUCACCCCACACCACAGCCGCGCCUUGCCAUCUUACCGGCUGUGACGCCUCAUCUCACCGGCCACCGUUCCUCACCCCCACUUCGGUCGUCGCCGCUCCUUGCCCUACCGCUGCUCUUUGCCGCUGCGAAUGAGCGCCGAGUGGAGGAGGAGGGAUGGGGCAGGAGGAGGGCAAGAUCCGGGAGGAAGGGAGAGAUCUCGGGAGGUGGAGAUGGAAGGAUAUGGCGGAAGGGAGAGAUCCAGAGGGAGAGAGCAGGGGAGAGAGGGGGGCGUGUGGGGAGAGAGCGCGUGUGGGGUGGGGCCGGGCUGGUGGGAUGGAAGGGAGAGGGGCUAGACGGGCGCAGUGCAUUCAACUGGAUGAAGUAAAUAUUUUGGAUUCGAGACCCCAGCUUUAUUAUCACCGCUGGUCCGUAGUACCAUCCGGUGCCUGCUCGUAAUUUAAUUUGAAUCUGCGGUGAUGUUUUAUUAUCACCAUCGGAUCAUAUAAAAAUCCGGCGGUUAAAAAUCCGCUGGUUUCGAUGAAAACCGACGGUGAUAGGAUGACUGUGAUAGUCUCUUCUCUAGUAGUGGUAUAUUAGUACCGGCUGCCGGAUGGUGUUGCCGACCAGUACUUCUCCGGGGGCGAUUCAGUACUGCUGUUAGCAAAGCUUGUUCUCUAUGAAUUUGGGGAUGGAAAGCUAGUUCUCUAGUUGUGAUUUGUUACAUAUAUAUCUAUGAUAGUCUAGAAAUUGCAUGUCCUUCGUUGACAUAGUUGAAGCUGCUUCAAGAAUUUACUUCGUGCAGUCGUGCAGCAUAUUGGAUUAUCACCUAGACAGGAUACAUAGGUGAAGCAUUGGAUGUGAUUGUGGCCGAUAAUUAUGCAGGACGCUGUUGCAAUCAACCACCAAGAAGUCUGGAGUGAUGGGGUUGCCUCAUCAAUAAUUUUUAUAUAUGGCUGCAGUAUUAUUAAGCCCACGUCAAUAAUUUUUUGUCCGCACCAUAUAUCGAUGGGGUUGCCUCAUCAAUAAUUCGCGCAACCAGACAAGCUGCAGACUCAAUAUGGUACGAAGCUAGUUGCUCAGCCCACAUGCUCUGAUAUAACAUUGACAUCUGCUGAUCUACAGUAUAUAUGACCAGAAAUAUUGUGCCCACCUCAAUAACUUUCUGAAGUAUCGUGGGGAAGAACCUACGCGUACUAUGCCUCGGAACUAACUGACAUAUCGGCCCAGGCGGUCUAGGCCGAUUGGACUGGCUCUUCCUUGUGGCUUCUCACAUCCCCUUCGUCCCCAAGUAAUUUCAGGUGUUCUGUAGUUUUCUUUUCACUUGCAUCUGAGCCUCCUAUAUCAAUAGCUUCGGGAUAAGAAUGCCUCUUGAUAACCUUCCAAAUCCUCGCUUGAUUCACAUUGAUUCCGAAAUCAUCUUGCCAUAUCUUCAGAGACUUAGGUCCUAAGGCAUCAUGGAGGAUUGCUCGCCAAGAAUGAGCACCAUUGGGCUCCUGAGGACCCUAGGCCGAUCAGCCCGGGCUCUAUAGGUCGAUUGGCCCAGGCCCUCUCUGGGCCUGUUGGCCUUCAUCUUUCUUUGAGUCGACGCUUAUUCAGGGCUUUGUCCAAUUAUAGUCCAUUAUAGUCUAAUUUCCUAAAAAACAGAAUGUCCUCCAAAAUACAAUGCAUAUGUGAAAACAACCCAAUUAUUAGGUAUGAUCAAUAGUUUAGGUAUUAAAUUAAUAUUAUUAUUUAAGAUAAACAGGGGUAAAGGGUGUCAUUAAUAACAAGCGCCAACAAGCGUCCUAGCUGUUCAAUAAAUUUUUUCUAGUACCGAUUGGUAACACUAACCGGUGCUAAUAUGUACCCUUUAUUACCGGUUAUUUUACCAGGUACUAAAGGAGACAAGAGCAUCCUAACAUAAGGUUAAUAUCAUCCAUUUCAUGAGUAAAAUACUAUGAUUCAAAAAUAAUUCAAAUCCCUUAAGACAAUACCUAUCAAAUGAGUAAAUUGUAAAUAGAGUAAUCUUGAUCAAACAAUGUCCUAAUGAAACGGAACACUUCUGGUUCGUGUAGAGCACAAUAUAGAAAACAGUAGGGUAGCUGUAUGAUUGACACGUGGUCCAUUAAUUAUUGAGCCAACACUAUGGACAUGUCUUCAUGAGUAGUGUACUAGUCAUAAUACAUGGUAUGCAGUAGGUGGAGGUAUUGACUUAGCCAUGCUAUGAGCACUUAGUUACAACAAACACUUUGCCAUUAUCGAGCAUCCCAAAUCACUACAAAAUCCAUAGUUUACCAUAUACUACAAAAUCUGAGUUAAAAUAAGAGCAUACACGGAAGAGUCCGAAUGCACGGCACAUUGAAUUACUAGACAAAAUUUAUGGGACAAGGUUUUGGGUAACCGCAUGAAAAAUAUUGGAUUUUACUGAACACUUAGUUACAAUUACCAUGCCCGUGAGCACUUAGUCACCACAAACAUUUAACCACUUUAGAUCAUCCUGAAUCCCUAUAAAUUCUAUACCUUACACCGUACCAUGAAAACGACAAGAACAGAGACAGAUGCGGUGAAAAUCUCCAGAGCAAGCCUGAAAUUAAAAUAAGAGGAGGCAGUCACUAUCGACAGGACACGGAGAUUGCUAGCCAUGACAGAGGAAGACAUGAUAUGAUAUUCACCUCUGAAAUGCAGCGUAGACUAAAUGAAGCACAAUUGCAAGUGAGUGUGGCAGAUAAUGGACCAUCGAGACCAUCGAAUGGUAUGAAGCAUGAUUAUCACCUAGACAUGAUAUCCUAGACAGGACGGUGAAUUGUAAAAAGAGUAAUCUUGAUCAAAGAAUGUCCUAAUGAAACGGAACAUUUUUGGUACGUGUAGAGCAAAAUAUAGAAAACAGUAGAGUAGUUGUACGAUUGAAACUGCAUCCAUCGACGUGGUGCAUGAAUUGUUGAGCCAACACUGUGGACAUGUCUUCAUGAACACCAUCUAGUGAGGACAGCAUGCAGAAAAAUAUAAAAACAUGUCAUAGGGAGGCAGACCAAUCUUGCGAGGUAGACGAAACGUGAUACACGAUCUGCCUACCUUGUCGUGUGGAUACCCCAAGUGAAGAUGUCAUAGAGGUGCAGACCAAGCUAGCAAGGAGGUAGAUGAAACGUGAUACACGGCCUGCCUACCUUGCCGUGGAUAUUAGUCCUGAUAUCAUUCUAUUGUUCAAGGAAUAACACUCAAUGCUGCUGCUGCUGCUGACCUGGCUCCAUAAAGUUAUAUUCCUCUAGCCGCUUGCACUAACUUUAUCUGAAGUAUUAUUCUCUCUGCACUGUAUAUAUGGUUACGGAGUUUGCUGGAGUAUCCGGGGGGAAGAACCUACAUAAUAUGUCUUGGAACUAACUGACAUUGAUUCACAGACAAGGUGCUGUUGUUGACAUGGUACAGUAAAUAAUAUAGUUUACCAUAUACCGUAUACCAUUAUAUGUUAGCUAAAAUAAGAGCAUAACAUGUCGCAGGAGUCCAAAAGCACCGGUUGAGGACCAGGUACAUUAAAUUACUAGAAAACAAAAGGGGACAAGGUUUAGGUAGCCACAUGAAAAACAUUUGAAUUUACUGUACCAUGAACACUUAGUUACCAUGCCGGGAGCACCUAGUUAACACUAACAUUUAGCCACUUUAGAUCAUCCCGAAACACCAAUGACCCUCAAUAGCGACAAAUUUUGGUUUAAAUGCCGUCACCAAUGAUCCUCAAUAGUGACGUGUUUAGGUUUAAAUCCCAUCACUAAUAACCCUUGGUAGUGACGUGUUUUGGUUUAAAUCUCAUCACCACUGAUCCUCACUAGUGACGUGUUUUUAGCAACACACGUUAUGAAUGACUUGUCAUUGGUGACAUGUUAAACGCGUUAUCUCAAUGGCAAAUCAAUGGUGACGUGUUUAAAAAAACAUGUCACUGUGAGAGUUAUUGGUGAAGGGUAAUUAAAAUGCAUCACUAAUUUUGUAGCAUUAGUUAUGAUAUAAUUUUGUAACGCAAAAAUCUACCAUAGUAAUGAGGUUUAGAGCCAUCACUAAUGUGGGUUUCUUAUCGUAGUGAUGCAAGCUCUACAAGGUGCUGUUGUUGCCAUUUUAAAGCAUCCCAAAUGACUACAAGAGUCCGGUUGAGGACUAAACAAAUUGAAUUACUAGAACCAAAUGUAUGUCCAGAACAAAGAAAGGGGUCAAGGUUUGGGUAACCGCAUUAAAAACAUUGAAUUUUACUGUACCAUGAACACUUAGUUACCAUUACCAUGCCUUGAGCACCUAGUUACCACAAACAUUAAUUUAGCCACUUUAGAGGUUCCACAAUCACUAUAAAUAAUAUACCAACACCGUACCAUGAAAACAUCAAGAAGAGAGACGGGUACAUGGACCACCAUCAAGUGAGUAGUGACAGCACGCACAAGAAUACCCGGAACCUUUUAGCUUGUCUGUAGUGAUCUGUUUUCUUCGCCACAAAUAAUGAAAGAGGCUGACCAAGCUAGCAACGAGGUAGAGCAAACGUGAUACACGUAGGUUUCAUUCAAGACAUCCAUGUAAGAUUCAUUCAAAACAUUCAUGGAAAUUUCUUGUAAGUUUUCAUGUAAAUUUCAUUCAAGACAUUUGUUAGAGGUGUUGUAUAUACACUUAACGUACAUAUAUCUAUGAUUUCAUGGUUGUUAGUGAUGGCAGAUGAGGAGCAUGCAAGGUGUUUAAUGGAGCAGAUUAUUGCUAGUGGUAGUGGCUCCAACCUGCCCGUAACGUACACCGACGAAGAGGGCAGCCAGGCGGACAUGUUCCUCAACAUGUCCGGUGAUGGCAAUGAAGAGCCCGAGCAAAACCUUGCCGUGACGGAAGGUUCCAUCGAGGUAUAUAUCAUUUCCAUUAUUUUACCCCAUCUAUAAUUUCAUAUUCAUUAUUACUAUGUGCUAAUUAAUGAAUCUUGAACCGUUAGUCCUCUAGAUCAACGAACCGAAAUAAGCCCCGAGGUCUUACAAAGAUAAUGCAGGGAAGGCUUCACAUCAUGGAAGUCACAGAAGAGGGCACAUCGGUUGCUCCCGAACAUGUGGCAAGAAAGUACGUGAGUCAAACCGGGGCAAUCGUAAGGGACAACAUGCCCAUCAGCAUCAGGGAAUGAAAGAGCAAUAGAAAUGAUCUAUACGCACCCCCGGAUACACAAAAGGAUAUGUUGUGGGCAAAUAUCAAGAAACACUUCACAUUUCCCAAAGGAUAUGUUGAAAAAUAUGUGAAAGCGUGGAUGUUGAAGAAGAUGGCCACCCAAUUCCAGACAUUCAAGAAGAUGUUGGAUGCCAACUUCAUCAAGAAGGGUCGAACUCCGGGUUUCAAUGAGUGGCCAAAGUUAAGGGACCACUGGGAGUCGUUUGUCGAAUACAAGACGAGCGAAGGUGGUGCGAGUAAGGUUCACAUCAAUGUUGCCAAUGCUAGCAAGGAGUACCAUCAUCAUCUAGGGCGACGUGGUUACAGCUCUGCAAUUCCCAGAUGGCGCAAGAUGGAACAAGACCUGAUCGAUCGGGGUAUCGUACCAGCAACUCUUGACUGGAUCGAUUGAAAAAUUGGUAUUAUGCUCAUGAAGGCAAUCUGAGCCAAGAGGAUCCGACAUUGGUCUUCAAUAAAACAAUACGUCAGAAGGUCGGAAGGCUUAUUAGGAACAUUGAAGAUGCUAAAGCUGGGAGGUUCAAGGUGGAUAGAGAGAAUGAUGAACUCACAUUGGCCCUCGGGACUGUCAUCUCUAGCACUUCCAGCUCCAGGACUAUCGUCACCACCGGGACCGUCGCUUCCUGCUCGAUCACAGUCUCCAUCUCCAGCACAUCCUGGUGGUGCGAGCGACGACGACAACAACACCCCUCCCUGCCCACCAUUGCCGGGACUAAGACCCGCAUUGAGUAAGGAACCUGCAACACCACUGAAGAAGUCGCGACCACCACCUUCAAGGCAAGUCAGCAAAAGAAGAAAGCAGAGAAGCCUAAACCCACUGAGAAGCCAGCGACUGAUAUGACCGAUGCGGAAAGAUGGAAGGCACUCAAAGAAGAAUGCAGGGAGUGGUUCAGCGAAGGCGAAGGUGAGAAAGUCGUAUGAAUCGAAUUCAAGGAUAUAUAUGAAGUGAACCAUCAGGAUGCCCUUGAUGUCUCUCUCAUCAGCGCCUAGGUUCUGUAAGUGUAUGUUUAUCUAUAAGUAAAUUUUGGCUCAUAUCAUUAUUUUUUUUGCGUGCGUCACCCUACUAACUUCGUCUUCCAUUUUAUGUAGGAUGCUAAUUCAGACGUGCCGCAUAGAAGCGUACUUCCAUGUUGGAUUCAUGGAUCCAUCCCUAGUUAACCAAAAGCCGAUACGGAAGUAGCUAGAGAAAACGUUGGAGGUGGUGUACAACCUCCUGGACAAACUAAACUACAGAAUAGGGGCAAUAUGUGAGGGUCUUGUAGGAUUCCUAGUGGACGAGGUGAUAAAUCCAUAAGGAGAAUAUCAUUCCAACGGACGAGCAUUAGACACACUGAGCAACACCUAGAUGGGAGGAUCCUAGGAAUGACCUCGACAGAUUUUGGUAUAAAUAGUAAUUGUGUAAAUACUAGUUUGAUUUGUAUAGGAAUAUACUAAGAAUUGUAUAUAUAGUAAUUGUACAAAUACUAGUUUGAUUUGUAUGAAUACUAGAUUGAUUUUAUUAUAAAAAAGUUUUAAGUCGUACGUGCAUGCGCCUACAAAGGCGCGGAUGCCUUUUAAUCCCAGUCGGAAAAACAAACUGGUACUAAAGGGGCUCGUGCCGCACCUGGCAUGACCACCCCUUUAGUCCCGGUUGAACGACCCAGGACUAAAGAUCUCCGCGUCUCAAAAAUUUUAUCUCGGAUGCUUUUUAGAGAGAUUUGAGGCCUAUCAACCAAGACUAAUAUCGAGUUUUCUACCAGUGAAACUAACUAACGUUCACAUGGUUUUGACAUUCACCUGCCAUUUGGUGUAGACAAGGGCACCCUAACAUAUGGUUAAUAUUAUUCUUGAAAGAAAAUCCUUUGAUUCAAAAUACUUCAAACCUAAUAAUACAAUACUUCUCACAUCUGAAAAAUAUGAGACGGCCCGACAGUAUUCUAAUCGACGCAAUAAUAUUUUGAGGGCAGCACUACUACAGCGACCCUCAUUCGUGCCGGUGCUGGGACUCCUAUCACGACCCUGAUACAAAUGAGGGUACAUUAUUGGUGCCAGUGCUAGAACAGCCACGAAUAACUUGCUAAACGUGCUGUUACACUCACUACAGGGACCAAGAAGGUAGAUAAAUUACACGACAUAGCCUUGGUUGCCGUGGAAGCGCCAAGAAGGGAGACAAAUUACAGGGACCACACCAUCAAGUAGAUAGUGACAAUAUGCAAAAGAAUACCCGCGCCUGUUAGCAUGUGAACUGACCACACCACGAAACGUGAUACACGGCAAGCGUACCAAGGCCUUGCUGUGCAGACUAUGCAUGGACAACACAUGGUACCUGACCGCUUUUGGCCUCAGACACAUCGAAAAACUGCAUCGUUCCACGUUGUACAUCCAUUGCUAGUUUAUCUAUAUUACAUAAUAUAUUAUUAGCUAUUUGAAUAGAAUGAACCAAUUAAAAAAUUGCGUUGUAUUUUUAGUACCGGCUGCAGGAUGGUGUUACCAACCAGUACUAAUUGGCCUGUAGGAGUGAUGGUUAUUAGACUUGGUACUGUUGUUAGCAUCAUUAACCUAAUUGUGCGCCGUAUGAAUUUGGGGAUGCAAAGCUAGCUCUCUAUGAAUGUGAGGGAUGGAAAGCUAGUUCUCUAGUAGUAAUUAUAUAUAUGACAGUCAAGAAAUCGAACACUAUGCUGCUACGAGUCACCAUCAUUUCCUUCAUUGACAAUCUGACAUAGGUGAAGCUGCUUCAAUAAUUUCCUUCGCGCAGUCGUGGAGCUUAUUGGAUUAUCACCAGGACGGGACACGGAAAUGGCCAGCAAUGAAGCUGAUUGCCGUCUGAGGAAGACUACAUACUUACCUAUGAAAUGAAGCGAUUGCAUAGACUAAUGAAGCAUUGCAUAUUUGCAUGUGAGUGUGGCAGAUAAUUCUGCAGGACAUGAUUGCAAUCCACGCACCAUCGAGAAGACUGGGGCGAUGGGGUUGCCUCAUCAAUAAUCACGUGGAUGCAUGCAUGCAUGUUCCCGCAACCGGACAAGGGUCUGAUAUAUGGCUAUAGUAUUACUGAGCCCACAUCAAUAAUUUCCACUGGUGUAUCGUGUGGGAAGAAUCAACAUACUACACCUCGAGUUCUUGGAACUAACUGACGUUCACAUGCAACCUCCACAAGGUGCUGUAUGCUUUUGACAUUCACCUGCCAGUUCGUGUAGAGAAGGACACCCUAACGUAUAGUUAAUAUUAUCCAUUUCAUGAGUAAAAUACUGUGAUUCAAAAAUACUUCAAAUCCCUUGAGACAAUACUUCUCACUUGACUAACCACUAACCAACCCCGAAACCCUAACUCAACUCCGAACCCUAACCCCUAACGGCAUAACCACUCCGUUUUGCCGGCGAGAUGGAGGAACUGGCUGGAAGGUAGAGAGGGCAGCGGUCCAGGGUUGAAAACGACGGGCGAGCGCAGUAACAUGUGGAGGAGGAAGUGCCACGUAUUCGUUCACCGCUAUUGGGCAGCGACACACGACACGCCCAAUAAGAUCUUCGCACGGUAGAAGGACGUCAUGUAUUCAAUAAUGUUAUUGGUCCCCCAUGUGCAGAAGGGCGCGCGCGUAUGGAAUAACAAGUAGGGACACUGCAACUAAUCUACUCUGCUCGUCCAGUCCCUAGCCUAUAAAUAGAUGCCAUGCUAGCUCUUGUUGUGCUCACAAUUAAUCCGAUUACACACGAGCUUCUCUCCCUGGCCAAGACACAACCAUAGUAUGAUGAAGAACAUGGCACUAGCCGGCAAUGGUAUGAAGAAGUUAAUCCUCGCUGUUCUCUUACUGUGUCUAGUUAUAGGGCAGAUACAAGUGGAAGCUAAGAGCUGCUGCCCAUCCACCACUGCAAGAAAUGUCUACAAUACCUGCCGUUUCACGGGUACAUCCCGUCCAACGUGUGCAAAACUGUCAGGCUGCAAAAUUAUCAGCGGGAACAAAUGCAAGCCCCCUAACGACCACCUCACCCUUGACCCGGACACUGGUAAAUAAUAAAUUUAUCUCACUUGAUUUCUUCGUGAUUUGAGUCGUUAAUGUAUUUUCCAUCUGAUGAAACGUAUUGGUUUUGCAUUGAAGAGGAAGUUAAUGUGCUUAACUUCUGCAAGUUGGGGUGUGCGUCGUCUGUGUGCAACAACAUCAACGCUGGUAAGCAACUUUUGCUCAGACAGAGAAAACAAUAAUCAUUAAUUAGCGGCAGCUAGAAUCCUAUAAUCUAAUAUAUAUAUAUAUAUAUAAUUUUAUCAGCUCUGGGAAAUGAAGAGGCGAACGAUGCCGUUGAGAGUUGCGACCAAGCCUGCUCUAGCUUCUGCAGCGUGCAUGUUGGCAGCGCCACCGUGGUUGCUUAAGCAAAUGCAUCCAACUAGAUCGUCCUUGUGCUGAAUAAUUGGAUAUCGUAUCCACUUAAAGCUGCCUUGUGUAGUACGUCUUUGUGUCUCUCUUUAUAUUCCAAUAAGGUCGGUGAUCUUGAUGCCACACACUCAGAUGUGUGUUCAUCUCCAGAUACUACUCCAUGCUACCUGCCCUUUGUGUUUUGUUCAAUAACUGGGUAUCAUAUCCCAGCCAGUAUGCCGUCUGUUUUGUGUUUGUUUCCUUCUAGUUCCAAAGGGGUCAUCAUGAUGUUACCUUCUUUCAAUAUGGUGCUUUGCAUGACUACUGUUGUAUGGUACCAUCUUGUGGCCAAUAAGUACAUCUUAUCCUAUGACCUUUGCUAUGACCCUUUGCAAAUAAGUAGAAGAUUGUUAUAAGCGUCAAUACUCCGUAUAAAUUGAUCGCUGCUGUGAGUUCCCUUUCAGCUUAUCGUAGGCAUACAUUAUUGCUAGCACGGUAAAGCCAACCAACACGAAUGAUGAAGUAAACGUAGCGGUACUUCUGUAUACCAACACCCUUACUUAAAUGUACCGGUGUCAUUCCCUACUGGCACAUAUAUUCUUAUAUGCUAGCCAGCUUGUAAAAUUAACCAAUUAAAAUAAUUAUUUCAAGAUAGAAAUAACUUAUCGGUUUCUGGAAGCAUGUGUAAUGUGAAUUCAAGGACUCGACGGAAGUUGAAUCACUUCAUCUAUAUUGCUUUCAGUAUUUUGGGUAACUAAAUUUAACAUUUGCACAUACAAAUGUUAAAGUACAAAUGUUAAAUCUAGUUACCCAAGCAGAAUAUGAAGAUAGUUUAUAGUAUAUAUAUACUAUAUAAAUCUAGUUAACAUUUAGUCUAAAUGUUAAAUCUAGUUACCUAAAAUCCUGAAAGCAAAAUGUAUAAAUAUAUAUCUUUUAAGGCAGUAUAAGCUUCGAUUCCUAUUGCUGCUCUGUUAAAUCUCAUCUUUCGUUGUGGCCCAACACUCUAGUAUGCAUGUUGCACCAAGCUUCUUUGAGCCGCUCUGCCCUCUGAUUUUGCUGCGUAGGGGAAUCUUUAUCAGGUUGGGCUACUUCCAGUUGUGCGAUGUAAAGAUUCGUAUUUUCUAGAAGGUAGACAAAAAACUCGCGUUCUCUUAAGGCAACAACCGGAAGAUUCUGCAGCGCACAGGGCAUACCAUUAUUGUAGAAACGACCUUUAGUACCGAUCUCCAACCCCCUUUAAAACUGGUUUUGCAACCGGUACCGUUAUGUCGGUCCUUUAGUACCAGAUCAAAUAAGUACCGGUUGGUAACCAGUAUCAACUUGUUUUGCGGCCAAAAAAAUAAAGAAAAAAACAGUCAGAAGGCUCGCACACACGCGCAUCACAUGAAAUAUGCGUGUGCGGGGUCCAUGGGAUUCGAACCCAUGAAAUCAAGCUGCACGCGACCCUUCGUUACCAUCUCACCUACAUAGCGCAUAUGCUUUCCUGAAGUAACCCGUGGAGGAGGCUUUAGUACCGGGUCAUAACACCACCCGGUACUAAAAAUGACUCUUCAGUACCGGGUCAUAACACCACCUGAUACUAGUAUCGGAUGGUGUAAUGACCCGAUACUAAAAGGCCUCUAGGGACCCUCAAAUUUGAACCCGGUACUAAUGCUAAUAUUAGUAGCGGGUCAAAGUGCAGCCAGAACUAAAGCAUGGGAUGAAAGGUCAUAUUUCUAGUAGUGUAUAGUUGUUGUGAAGGACUGACUUGGCUGUCCUCUCUCUUCUCCAUCCCCUUGGUCUUACGCCGCCGCUCGCACGCGAGCCGGUGCCCAACCAGAGGAGUGAGAGCUAGGGGCAGGUUGGGAGGUGGGGAUAGUGACUGGUGGCCAGGGUGAUGGUUGAUCCUGGUGGGGUUAGGGUUUCAGGGUUUUCGAGCUUCCUAUGGUCGGCGAACCUAGAGGAGAAGCUCAACAUCAGCUGCAACCCGCGAUGGUGGUGGUUUGGCCGGCGCCCGAGGCGAGGCAGCGCGGGAGUGCUGCCGGUGGGUUGGUGUUGGCACUCAUUAUUGACAACUAUUUUGUUCAUAAAAUAACACUCAAACUUGCUGCUGCUGCUGCUGCCAUCGCCACCCUAGCCAUAAUAUAAAGGCAAAAUUUGCUAAAGGACAUGCAAAAUGAUGCUAGUUUGCUGGCGGGCAUCGUUGACCUUGUAAUAUGCUACAAGACACUCUAGUUGUGUAUCAAUUUGCUGAAAGACAUUGCUAUGACUAAAAUAAUGUUUCUGGACUGAGUUGGAGAGAGAGAUGGAGUGAAAUGUCUGUUUUGCCCAUGACCCCACUGGUCAGAUCCUUCUUCUUCCACCCUCCUUUGUUCUUUCUUCAACCAUUACCCAGCUCCAGCGUGUUGCAGAUCUACGAGGGUGGCGGCCUGGGGCGAGGGGCAUCGCUCGCCCUUGGAGGAGCGCUGCGAGCGACGGCGCGGGGGCGGCAACAGCGCGUCAGAACCUGACUGUUCGUUAGCUCCUCUCGCUGCUGGGGAAGAAGGAGGGGGAUGGGCCAUGGACGGGGUUCCCUUGAAAACCUCAGCGUCGAGCUCGGGCGGCUACGCGCAGGCAGCACUAGGCUGCUUCACGGGGAGGGGGCGCGGCCAAUCAUUGGCACCCCACUGGUCCAAUGCUGAUGAAGAUGGUGCCAGCGUCGUGUGAGGACAUCUCAUCUCCUCGAGUUCCAUGGCCAGCACAGGUGAGCUGCCGCUACCACAAAACAGAGGUUUCGUGAGAGUCAAAAAACCUUAUGAAAAUAGCUAAAACCAUCAUGAAAAUAAUCCGUGACAUGACACUCUCACGAAAAUCCUCUCACAAAUAUGGUGCCAUGAAAAUACCAUUUUCAUGAGAGUGAACUGUCAUGAUUUUAUAAGCGUCAAUACUCGGUAUAAAUUGACUACUGCUGUGAGUUCCCUUUCAGCUUAUCGUAGGCAUACAUUAUUGCUAGCACGGUAAAGAGAACCAACACGAAUGAUGAAGUAAACGUAGCGGAACUUUUGUAUACCAACACCCUUACGUACCGGUGUCAUUCCCCACUGCCACAUAUAUUCUUAUAUGCUAACCAGCUUUGAAAAUUAAGCGAUUAAAAUAAUUAUUUCAAGAUAGAAAUAACUUAUCGGCUUCUCGAAGCUUGUGUAAUGUGAAUUCAAGGACUCGAUGGAAGUUGAAUCGCUUCAUCUAGAUUGCUUUCAGGAUUUUGGGUAACUAAAUUUAACAUUUGCACACACAAAUGUUAAUGUACAAAUGUUAAAUCUAGUUACCCAAGCAGAAUAUGAAGAUACUCUAUAGUAUAUAUGUACUAUAUAAAUCUAGUAAACAUUUAGUCUAAAUGUUAAAUCUAGUUACCUAAAAUCCUAAAAGCAAAAUGUAUAAAUAUAUAUCUUUUAAGGCAGUAUAAGCUUCAAUUCUCUGUUAAAUCUCAUCUUUCGUUGUGGCCCAACACUCUAGUAUGCAUGUUGCACCAAGCUUCUUUGAGCCGCUCUGCCCUCUGAUUUUGCUGCGUAGGGGAAUCUUUAUCAGGUUGGGCUACUUCCAGUUGUGCGAUGUAAAGCUUCGUAUCUUUUAGAAGGUAGACAAAAUACCCGCGUUCUGGAAGAUUCUGCAACGUGCACGUUGGCGCUGCCACCGUGGUUGCUUAAGCAAAUGCAUCCAACUGAAUCGUCCUUAAGCUGAAUAAUUGGAUAUGGUAUCCACUGCUUAAAGCUGCCAUGUUUAGUACGUCUUUGUUUUUCUCUCUUUAUAUUCCAAUAAGGUCGGUGAUCUUGAUGCCACACACUCAGAUGUGUGUUUAUCUCCAGAUACUACUCCAUGCUACCUACCCUUUGUGUUUUGUUCAAUAACUGGGUAUCAUAUCCUAGCCAGUGUGCCAUCUGUUUUGUGUUUGUUUCCUUCUAGUUCCAAAGGGGUCAUCAUGAUGUUACCUUCUUUUGAGGUGUCUAUGAUGACUUCGUUAAUAUCAAUAUUAACCAAUUCAAUCUGUCUUAACUAUUUGUAAGGGGUAUGAUGUAUGCAUGAUUAUAACAAUGAUUGCGCAUACAAUCGCCGCCAAAGAAACGGUCAAUACCAUUAAGACAUAUUACAGACAAUUCUCAUAAUCUAUAAUGAAUAUACAUAUUCACUACUGCAGAAGACUGUCAUUUGUAUCGGCUCAUACGUGCCAGGGCAAAGGUCACCCUUGCAUUAAGUACAUUUGCACGGUAAAGACAACCAACACGAAUAAUGAAGUAAACAUGCCGGUGCUUUUGUACACCAACACGCUUACUUAAAUGUACUGGUGUCAUUCCUCACCGGUAGCCGGCUUGAAAAUUAACCAAUUAGAACAAUUAUUUAUUGUAUCGGUGUGAUUUUUGACCUAUUGGAAUAUGAAUUUGACCGUUACUGCAUUCGUCAAGACUCAAGAGAGAAAUAACUGAUCGGCUUCUUAGAGCGUGUGCAAUGUGAAAUCAAGGACUGGAUGGAAGUUGAAGCGCUAGCACUAGUAGAGAAACGACUUUCCAUCCACCCCCUUUUGUCCCGGUUUAAAGUUGGCUCGGGAUAAAAGGUUCACCAACCGGGACUAAAACUCAGUCACUGGUGGGAGGCUCACCAACCGGAACCUUUUAUCCCGGUUGCAAAGGCUAAUGGGAAAAAAAGACUCUGAGAGGCCUUUUAUCCCGGUUUGAAACACCAACCGGGAUAAAAGACCCCCCUUUUAUCCCGGUUGGUAACACCAACCGAGAUAAAAGGGUCAAGAGCCUUUUAUCCCGGUUGGAAACACCAACCGGGAUAAAAGACCCCCUUUUAUCCCGGUUGGUGUUUCAAACCGGGAUAAAAGGGCCCCCACGAGGUGACUGGAAGGUGACUGGAAGGGGAUUAAAUCGUGGGGGACCCUUUUAUCCCGGUUGGAAACACCAACCGGGAUAAAAGGGGGUCUUUUAUCCCGGUUGGUGUUUCCAACCGGGAUAAAAGGGUCCCCCACGAGUUAAUACAAAAGGAUAGUAUCCCCUACAUAGUCAGAUGUGGUGUGUAGGUGGGAUGGUAAGGAAGCUACGCGCGAGCUCCGGAAUUUUUUUUUUUUUUUUUUGCAGCGUCGGCGCUCUCUACCCUUUUAUCCCGGUUGGUAUUACCAACCGGGAUAAAAGGGGGUCUUUUGUCCCGGUUGAGUGACCCGGGAUAAAAGACCCCCCCUUUUUUCCCCGGUUAGUUUAUCCCGGAUGCAUUUUCGGGAUAAAAGCACCCUACCAACCGGGAUUAAAGCUCACUUCUCUACCAGUGUAGCUUCAUCUUCCGCUGCAAGUUAAUUGCUUGGAUAAGAAGUUGUAGCCGCUGCAAGUUAUAAAUAGUCCCGCUGAUGCUGUGCUCCGAAGUCUAUACUAUAUAUGCGGAAACUAGAUUGCUUUCAGGAUUUUGGGUAACUAAAUUUAACAUUUGUACAUAAAAAUGUUAGUUUACGAAUGUUAAAUCUAGUUACCCAAGCAGAACAAGAAGAUAGUAUAUAGUAUAUACUAUAUAAAUCAAGUUAACAAUUAGUCUAAAUGUUAUAUCUACUUACCCAAAAUAUUGAAAGCAAAGAAAGAAUAAGUAUAUAUCUUUUGUUGGAAAAUUGGUCCACGGAGAGGCCCAUUUAGGCCUCGUUCGUUUCACCGGGAUGGGAUUCCAGUCAGGAUUACUUCCAAGUUCGGUUUGAGUGAUUCCACCCGUGUCACUCAAUCCGGCUAGGAUUCAUUCUAUGGGUGAGGAGGUAUGGUUUCAAUCCAGGCCAUCUAAUGUAGAAGGAUUCCAAUCCAGGCCGGUUUUCGUUCCAGGCCAGACUAAAACGAACAACACUUUCAAUGCAAGUCUGGUUUCAAACCGGGCCAUUUCAAACCACCCGGAAUGGACCUCGUUCCAGGCCAAUCCGGUGAAAACAAAUGAGGCCUUAAUGGAAUCCCAAAGCAAGAGUUCAGUGGCAUUCUAUAGUCCCAUGCUGCUAGUUUGAGUUGGUCGAAGCCAACUUAAAUAGGAGAGCUCUCUCACUUCUCUAAAUACGUAACUGAAGGAGAGAAGGGGGCUUGGGUUACACAACGCACGCACGCACGCAUAUUUGCGUUCUUUUCGCGUAACCAACCGCGUGACUUGAAACUUGCGACGUAGCGUGCUGCUAAGUCAAGUUGAUAUAACCUUUUUGCCGUUUGCAUGUAAUCUUUUGACAACGGUCAUUGGAGGUGAUAAGCACGCAGUCAAUACCUUAAUCUUGAGUUAAUAGGGUGGUUACUACUGCCAAUUAGUGGGGCAAUUUUGUAGGGGAAACGGUUAGCAGAGGGCUACCGUCUUCUCUAUAAGAAGUUCUGGAGACGUCCAGGAACACACAUGUACAUGUGAGAGACCCACAAAUUCCUUCCCUUCUCCCUUUUCCAUGUGGUGAAGUGUGCUGUGGUACUGAGCUGCUUGAUCUCGCCGCUCUUCUCCUUGGCAUGCACCGAGGAGGAGGGUGAGCGGUAUCUCCGAGCUAUUGCCGUCAGGAAGCCUGCACGAGGGACAACAAAAAGUUUUUGGGUAGCGCAACUGCCAGCACAACUCUCCCUCCGCCUCUUCUUCACGGUUGAUGGCCACCACAAGCAUAAACCUCGCCUUCGCAUCCACGCAAAAGGGUCGCUGGGGUGCCUUCUUGCAUCGCUUCUCAGCCUCCUUGACUUGCGGCCAGCCAAGAACUGCGCCACCACCUCGGGUGCACGCCACCACUCCAGGGCUGCUACCCCAUGCCUGCGGCCGCCGCCGGCCACCACGCGUGUGCAACCGCGUCGCACCGCUUCCUUGCUUUGUGCCACCACUGCUGCUGUACCACCAGCUCCACCACCUUGGGCUGGUCGCCAGAGUGACUGAUAACUUAUUAUCUGUAACUACUAUUAACUCAGGGAUACAUGCGUCUUUUGCUUCUCCUACUAAUAUGUCCUAAAAUAUCUAGGAUGCCUUAUAUUUCUGGACAGAGGAAGUAUUUGAAUAAAAUGAACCAAUUUAAAAAAAUGUGUUGUACACUACUACAGAAAGACCUAUCAGUGUCAAACCCAAAAAUGUUGUCACCGCCAGUUUUGGGCAUCAUUGGUGAAAGGUUGGCGGUGAUGGGCUUUCCCUUCAACAACGGCACUGGAGCCGACGGUGAUUGACAUUAGAAAACAAAAAAGGGGACCCUACCUAGCCACCCCUGCAACCCGGCCGGCCGUGCCUCCCCUCAUCCCCACCACCUCGCCUCCCCAUGACCCCCCGCCGGCGCCCUUGCGCCUAGCCCCCUCAACUGCCCAGCCGGCCACCCUCAUCACGAGAGAGAGGUGCAUGUUGUAUAAUUGCGUGAAUUUUUUAAUGUUUAAUUUCAUGUAAGUUCCGUGUAAUAAAUUGUACAAGUUUUAUUGUAUAUAUGAAUUCCAUAUAUAUAUAUAUAUAUUUAUAAUUUAAUGUAUGGUUUCAUGUGUAUAUUUCAAUCAUGUGUAUAUUUAGUAGAUUGCCGAUUUUCUUUUUCUACUAGACAAGGGUUGAUGUAUAAUUACGUGUAUAUGUUUAUUGUACGGGCAAUUAGGACAAGUUUUGUAUAAAUUUCUUUUAUUUGAUGGUUGUUGUAUGGUUUCAUGUAUAUACAUUUAUUGUACUACUUUAGACAAUUUUUAAUUUAAUGUUUCUAUGAUUAGAUGUGUGUAUAACUAAUUGUAUUAUUAGUUAAGAUGGGAGCUAAAGAGGAUGAAAGGUAUAUAAUGGAGCAGAUUAUUGCUAGCUCAAACGUUGCAAGAACCUACACCGAGGGUGAGGGUAGCUAGGUGGACAUGUACCUCAACAUGUCCAGUGAUGGCAAUGACGAUGAGGAGCACGAGCAUGACAUCUAUGAUAAUGCGGAACAAGACAUUGCAGAAUUGGAAGGUUCUAAUGAGGUGUGCUUCAUGUUGACAAUCUAGUUGGCUUUUUUUCGUUGGUCACACCUUAGUUACCAUAGAACUUCGUCUCGGGAGAAGAUUGGUGGUGGUAUGGUGAUUGGAAUUUUAUUUCCACGAAAUCUGAUUUCCAUCGAAUCAUAUCCCUUGUAUUUAUCUUCUUUUUAUUUGUGAGAGCAUCUUCUUUAUGCUUGCAAAACAAUUCAAGUGCACAUACUACCCCUAGGGUGACGAUUGGGAGUAGAAAUAAUUGCCAACAAAACAACACCACAUCCUAAGAUUCUUAACUUGUGGCAUAAUUAGUCUAGUAAAAAGAAAGAUAAAAACCUAAUGGGUGUAUGUGAGUGCAAUGUGUAUAUGCAUAUGAGUGGAAGGCAUAUAAGCAAAGACAAUAUUUACACAUAGUUCUAAACACCAUGUUUACAGCUAGGUUGCUGAAUUUCUCCAUAGCCAUAGAGAUUAAUUAACCAAGGUCAAAACACGAUGUCUAUCCCAAGAUCAGUAAUUAUUUAUAGCACAAGAAAAAGAAAGCGCAUUGCAAAGUUUAUAAACCAACCAAUACAGCAUGAAAACAAGAUGAAUAGCUAGCAAGGUUUAUUAAACUGAAUGAUGACGGUCUGUAAGCAAGUUUAAACACCAUCUUUACACAAGAUUGCAAAUGGAAAAUGCCCAUAUGAAGCACUAACAUGGAUAUGAAAUCAUUCAUCAUAAAGCGUAAAGAACAACCAAGCCAACCAUAUGCAAAGCAUGAAUGGAAUGCAAUGAAGGUGCAAGAGAACAUUUUUGGAUGAACACAUUAUGAUGAUGGCAAAAUGCAAUGCAUGCAGAAAAAAUAAAUAUGAACAUGAAUAUGAUGAUCAGGGGCGGACCCACUAUUGUGGCCUGGGUAUUCCUCGGCAUACCCAAUAUUUUUGGGAAAAUGUUUAGUAGUUUUUAAUGGCAUAUACAUGUAUAAUAUAGUUUAGGUGUUAAAAUUGAUAUUCACAGCUAUUUUGGGCUCCAAUUCGCGUCCAAACCAACCUGGCCCACAGACCGCACCCGGCCGCCCGGCCCAUCGGCCCAUCUUGUCACUGAUCCUCCCACCACCACACUCAGCCCGUCAGUUAGUCAGGUCCCGAGCUCCUGCCUGACCUAGUCCGCUACCACCGCCAGGCGCCAGGCACAGCUGUACACGCCGCCCCCGUCCACCCACGUCCGCCGCACGGCCGCGUCGCGCCCCCCCCCGGCGCCCGCUGCUGCCAGAACCCAUUAGGCCUCCACCGGCAAGUCCACCCACAGUCCCGCGCGACGCGGCAGCCUCUUGGCUCUCGGCGCUCGCGGCGCGCCAAUGCCUGCGCAGCCCCAGCAGGCGACUGCCCCCCCCCCCCCCGCAUCGGGCCUCGGCCCCUCCCCAGCUCCCCCUCCCCCCUCCACCAGGACUGCCUGCUGGCCCCCACCGCGAGGUAAUCGAAAUGGACUGCUCAAUCUCUCAAUCUGUUGACAUGAUGCACACGGUUGCAAAAAUAGAUGUGUCAAAAUAGAUGUAUUGCCAAUUGCUAUAGAUGCAUAUGGUUGACAUGAAGAAGUCAAAAAUGACAUUUGGUUCCUUGUAGGCAGUCAAAAAUGAAGAAGUCAAACAAUAUUGAUCUGAAAUCAAUGCGGGAAAGGGCUACGAAGACACACGGGUAGAUUCCCUUGUGAACUUUUUAUGUCGUUCGUCUAAAUAUAUUUUUGCAAUGGGCAUACCCUACUCUGAAAUCCUGGGUCCGCCACUGAUGAUGAUGGUCUAAACAUAAAACAAGCCUAGAUUAAUUAGCUACAACUGAAAUUAAGCAAAGGUUAAUGUCAUUGACCCUAGCUCUAUCCUAGCUUUUACUAAAGUCCCGGCACAUAUAGUGGUUGGGCCCACUCUCUCUACUUCCCUCUCUGCUGCAUGCACACACACGAGCAACUGGAGGCCCAACAAAGCCCAGAAGGGUUCGGCCGAACCCGUCCGAUCCAGUCUGAGCGCCGCUCCCUCCCAGCCUUCGCGCAGAUGCUCCUCCAACGUUCCUUGACCCCUCCCUCAGUGUCCCAUUGGGUUUAACAUUGUAGGAGAGGAGUCCCUUUUUUAAAAUCUCAACCACCUCCUCUCCUCAUUCACUCCACUCUCAUCUCCAUCAAACUCACCAAGAUCCACAUCGGAAAUACCUGCUUACCACCAUGGCUGGCAAAGCCCUCGUCCCUUUCACCAACUUGGGCUUGACCAUUGAUCUCGAUGGGAAAAUCACUCCAGCAAAUGUCAUUGUCCCUGUCGGCGAUCUGGCGAUGGAGGAGGUCCAGGCACUAGAGGUCGAGCCCCUAGCCAUCAUACCGCCCAAGGGGUAAAGCAGGAGCAUGACAGGCGCUGCUAGGGGUUCAGCCGAACUCCCAGUUCAGCCAAACGAGGACGGCGUCGCCUCGGCCUCCCGCUCGACUGCAUGCUUCCCCUUGCCAAGGAGGACUCCAGAACAGCGGGCGCGUGCGUCAAGUCCCUACAAAAGGCUGAAAUACAAUGAAUAUCCAGGGUCACCCUUGAAGAUGGGUGAACGCUACGCCGGGUCCUUGUUUGACUAGUACGGCGAUGCAUUCUGCCACCGCUAUGUCGUUGUCGAGAUUAGCGGAUCAAGACUUAGACUAGUAAAUUUCUUUUAUGCGCGUAAGGCUUCAGAUGGUGGCGUGGGAGACAUGGGUUUUAUACUAGUUCGGGCAAUGGAAUACCCUACGUCCAGUGUCUGGAGCUGCUUGUGUUGCCCACGCGGGGUUCUGUAGUAGGGGUUACAGGUGUGCGAGAGAGGGAGCUAAUCCCAGGUCUCUUAGGCGUGUUCCGGUCCUCUAGAUGGGAGAAGUGUGUUCUGUUUGCUUGGGAGUAUCGGUUGUGUCUGAGUUGUCUCCGGAGCCUCCUCCCGUCUCAGGUCCCCGAUUCUCCUUUCAUAGCACAAGGAGACCAUCGGGGUUACAGACGAGACCGAGCGUGGGGAGGAGUAAAGAGAUAAACAUAGCUAGGUAAAAAUACAACAAGAAAGGGGGGAACCAAGUUUCUAGGUCACCGGCGUCCUCGCCGGCCUUCGACUUCCGCCGGCGCAUUUGUCGGAGGAGGGUGGCCGCCAUCGCGUUCUGUCGAUGGCUUCCUCGGUGACUGUAGCCACCGGGCGUGAUGAUGGCAUUUCGUCGUGACCCUUUGUCUGUUGGGGGAGGCGGCGGAUCCUGCCAUUCUGCUGACGGCUCGCGGAGUGCGAACGUCGCAUCCCUGCCGCUGGGCACGCGGGGCGCGAGAACGUGCGAGGCUUCCCCCUACCCCAGGCGGCGCAGGCCAUGAGUGCCCUGUGGCAAAUCGGAGGAGGCCGCAGCUACUGUAGCUUGUACUGUGCAGCCACGUAUGGGUACUUGUGGCAGGUUGCGUGGUGGAUGCGGAUAUCCUUCUCCCUGACAGAUCUGCGGCGCAUUUAUGGCGAGAUCGACAUGGGGACCCACAAGACCCGCGCCCAAGGCGGAUACUUGUCUGGAGGGCCCGGGUUAGCCUGACCCCCUACGCUUGGGGUCGGGCGAGGCGGAGACUUGCGGCGGGGCGUCGGACGCUCCCGACACUAGACCUGCGGUCGCGCAAGGCGGAGCUUGGUCUUCCGGGGGUCGGGGGUGCCGGACCCCAGGAUGCGGGGUCGGGCGAGGUGGAGCGUAAUUCUUGCCUCCCAUGUUGGGCCGAUGGCAGUCUUUGUUACCUCUAGUGGGCUUGGGCCUUUAUGUUUUGUUGUUUCCAUGGGCUUCGAGAGGUCGUUAAUAUUUCCCCCCAACAGUAGCCCCCGAGCCUGUGGUGGAGUGGGGGCGCUCCUCCGGAGGCUACUAUCAUCGCCCCUAGGGAAUCCUCGCAGUUGAUCCGGGAUAGGAGGUGUUGUUUGCACGGCUUGACCGAGGGGGUCGAUUAGGCGACGCAUCCUGUGAGCGACUCGGUGCGGGAGGGUUUCUUGUUGUUCCCUUCUGUCUGAGAGCCUUAAGUCGAGACCACCUGCGUGGCCUUUGGUUGCAAGGCCAGCCCCCGAGCCCCCGCACGUUGCAGGGGACCGGUCGGAGGCUAGGUCGACUUUUGUUCAUUACCCUCAAGCGUCUGUUCGCUAGGACGGAGGGGGCGAGCCGUGCCAUGCUAUCCUCAUCGGACGAACCAUGGUGCUCAUUGAGUUACUAACGGGUUGAUUCGAGUGGGAUCCCGGUCCCCGUUCGGGGGGGGUCCGGCUUGGGCCAAGCUGGUGGCGUACCCCAGGCUCCGGUCGGCCAGUUCAUAUAGUUCCUGAGUCCGUUCGGUCGGACCGGGGGCUCAUUGCCUUUCUUCGGGGAAAAACCAUGAACUUUGAUGCCGGUCCAGACUCGAAUGUGAGAUUGAGACGCCCGGGGCUGUCGCGUGCCCGGGUGAUGGCCGCUAGCGGACCCGUCUCCUCUCACCCCUCACUCGGGGGUAUCCUGAGGCGGCUGUCGAACCCGUGGCGGGCCAGCCUUCGAACCUCUGGAUCGUAAUGGGCCGUAGGGGCGUUUUCAGCCCCGUAUCCCUUUUUACCUUUUGGUGGGCCUUGGGCCGAAUCAUGGAGGAGGUCGGGCCUUGGGCCGGAUGCGGAGGAUGUCGUGCCUUGGGCCGGAUGUGGGGGACGUCGUGCGUGUCUUCCGGGAGACGAAGUGGUGGAGGGUGCCAACCCGCGAAUCGAGGGAGGAGGGGAUGUUUCUACUGCAGGUCAUGCGCACGGUUUCCGAAAAGGCAGCGGGCGUGACGGGACGUACCUCGCGCCGCAUUUAUUGCGAUGGGGGCGUCUGUUCUGCUUCCCUCGUGCCUUCCCUAUAAAACGAGGACUUCGCCUCGCCGGUUCCGCCCGCCAUCUACCUUCAAGCCUUUUCGCCUCCUCGCGCGCCCUUAGCUUUCCUGUGCCCGCUUCGUCUUCCUCCGCCCAGUGCCGCGCCCUUUCUCCCCAUCCGCCGUCGAGUUCUUCUCCCUCCGGCGAUGGGAUCCUGGGCGCGUUCCCACUUCGGCCCCUCACGCGCCGAAGGCCUAGUGAGGAAAGGCCUCCUUUGCGAGAGGACGGAGACGGAUGAGUGGGGGUUCCCUGAGAUGGAAGAGGUGCCGACUCCGCCCACCGGCUACGUCGUUUCCUUUGCCCACUUCCACGAGAGGGGGUUUGCGACUCCGCCGAGCCUCUUCUUCCGCGGGCUUUUGUAUUACUACGGGCUUGAGCUGCAGCACCUCAACCCCAACGGGAUUCAGCACGUCGCGGCGUUCGUUGCGGUGUGCGAGGGGUUCCUGGGCAUUGAGCCCAACUUCUCGCUGUGGAAGUACUUCUUCACGGUCAGCCUAUACCAGAAGGCCGAGAAGAGGGGAAGCCAGCAGCGGUCGACCCCGGUGCCGAUAGGGUGCGUCGGAAUCCACCUCUGCCAUACUCGCGCCAAGGAGUAUAUCGCGAUGAAGACCGCGGCAUCCCACAAGGGGUGGCACCAGCAAUGGUUCUACGUGAAGAACUACUCCAACCCCCCCUGCCGGAGUUCACCGGCCGCAUUAUUGAAGCGGCGCCGGAGGUGUGGGUGUACGGCCCGGUGGAGAAGGAGAAGAAGCGGAUCACCGGCCUGCUGCAGGCCAUCGAGCACCUGAAGGAGAGGGGACUGACCGGAGCCGGAGUCAUCGGGGCGUACCACGCCCGGCGGGUGGCGCCGCUGAUGCUCCGGGUCCGCUCGCUCGCCGACAUGACCCCCGGUGCUCUCACCGAUGGCACUGUCCUCGCGACGGGUGCUCUCGCUGCCUCCGAGAUCCGGCAGCGGAUCCGGGAGGCGCUGGAGGACAAGGACGCCGAUUACCCGGUGCCCGGCCACCCUCCGAUGCGCCCGGACGAGAAUUUCAUUGAUCUGGUAAGGAUUUUGCGCGCCAGUUUCCCUCUCUUGCGUUUCUUGGUAUGCCGUUCUGACGCGAGGCCCUCUGUGUUUGCAGGGUAGCAUGACCCGGGUCGUCGACUUGCGUCCGCCAGUGUCGGAGGACGCCGAGUGGCGGUAGCAGAACCGUCUCCUUGCCGAGAAGCAAAAGUGACGCAAGGACAAGAGACAGCGAAGAAGAAGAAGAGGGCCGCCAAGGAGUUCCAGCGGCGGCGGUGGGGAUAGGUCGUGUCGGAUGACGAUGACGAUGAGAAGGAGGAGGAGGAUGACGAGGAGGAGGAGGAGUUUAUCCUGUCCCCCCGGUCAGGGGCGCUUGUUAUCCGGGAGCCGCGCUCCCAAGCGGCCAUGGGGGACAAGGCGGGCGAGCUGCCUGCCCGGACCCGAUCCUGCGAAGCUUUGGGGGCGCGCCCCAGGGGUCGGCGCAGAGCGCCCCCCGGGGGUCGACGGAGCCGACCCCCAUCCCUACACCUGCAGCCCAGGAGCAGAGGAGCAGCGACAAGCGGCCGUUGCCAGAUGCCCCGGGGUCGGCGUCCAGCUCAGAGGCGAAGCGCGCGCGCCGCCCUUGCGCUGGGGGAACGUGAGUUGAAUUUCCUUGCGAAUCUCGUUCCUUUCCAUGCAUUGUGUUUGUUUCCGCUGAUGCUGUUUGUUGUCUCACAGCACCGCCCCUCAAGGCCUUGUCCCGCCGUUGGCGCCAAAGAAGGCGUUGCGGUGUUGUCGCCUCUGCGGGGCGGACCGCGGCUCCGCCGGCGGCGAGUGGCGGGGUCACUGGUGAGACCGCGGGUCCUACCGCGGAGGUGGCCCCUGCGGCGGCAACCGGUGGAGUGGUGCCACCGCCGGGCAUGGGACAGGGUCUGGACCCCGCUCCGUCCUCCGCCUCUUCGGCCGACCCCGCGGUGCAGAGUAUCGCUCCUGGGGGCCCUCAGGCCGGGGAGGUGAUUGACCUCGACGCCGACGAGGUGGAGGAGACGGCGGCGGUGGAGACGGGGGCGGUUGCCCCAGCGGCCAUGACGGGGACGACGACGGCGACGGGGGAAGGAGAGUCUACCCCCGCGGCCACGGCGGGGACAGUGGCGACAGAGGAGGCGGGGACGCCCGCCCCGGCGGCUGCGACGGAGGAGGCGGCGGUGACGGAGACGGGGGCUUCCGCCCGGGAAGCCACAGCCGAGGUGGCAGCGGCGACGGAGGUGAAAGUGCCUGUUCUGGAGGCCACGGUGGGGGUGGGGACGCCUGCCUCGUGGCCACGACGGAGGGCGAGGCGGCCCCAGGGACACUUGCUCCGGCACCCGCGUUGGAGGCGGUGGCGCCGACGGGUUGGCCCGUGGCGGCCUCGACGGGGGCGGGGGUGCGUGCGCCGGGACCGUCGGUGAGGCCGGCGACUUCCGGGAUGGUGGUGCCCGUCUUGACGGCGGCGGCGGCGCGGUCGGCCCCCGCCCUUGCCUCUACCACUCCCAUUCCCAAGGCGUGGAGCGGAUCCGUCCUGCGUUGGUCGUCUCGUGACGACCCGCAGAGGCCCCUCUUCACGUUGGAUGAUGCCACAGAAUGGGGCAAGUGGCAGGCGCUGCAGGGCGGACUCGCUAACGUCCGCGCCGCUCUAUCUUCGGCGUUGGGGGAGCUGGACGGCGUCAUCUUCCCCGGUGGCCGGGUAUGGUGCUUUCUCCGUUGGUUAUUUUCUUCCCGUUACUUCGUCCCUGAUGGCACAUUGUUCUGCAGGCCCUCCAAGAAUGUAGCCGGGGAAAAUCUGAUUUCCUUUGGCUCGAGCAGGGGCUCUGGGAGCGCUUCAACUUGGAGUUGCAGCGGACCGGGGAGCUGACCAUGCAAGUCGCCACCGUCUAGCAUGUCAUCGACGAUCUGCGAAGGCACGAGCAGGCGGCACAGGAGGACGCGCGGCGGGCGGAGGCCAAGUUCCAGGUCGUUGCCGAAAGGGCUCGCUGCGACCGCGAGGAGUUCCAGGCCGUUGCCGAAAAGGCCCGCCACGACGCUGAGGAGCUCGCACGGCUGAAGGUGCAGCAUGAAGCUCUUCAGAAGAGCGGCAGAGGGCCUGGCAGGACCGGGACGCCGAGAAGGUCCGGAAGGAGGAGGCUGAGAAGGUGGCGGCCAACCUUGGGGCUGAGGUCAGCCAGCUCCAAGUGCAAGCGCGAGAGCUUCAGGCCUCCGUGGCCCAGGGGCUCGACCAGGAGCGCCAGCUGAAGGCCUAAUCCGAGGGUAUGACUCUGUUUAUUUCUUUGUCUUUGUGAUGUUGCGGUGAUAUUUUAUUUGGCGGGUUCUUCUGGAUGAUCCUUGCAGAUGAGCUCAACUGGCUGAGGGAGGUGCUUGACGCGGAGCGCGCUGAGCACGGCGACCUGCGGGACGCGGUCCGCGUCAUCUGUGACUUCCUUAGUGUGGUCCAGGGGGAGGGGACGAGCUCGCUGGCGGCUCGUGUCCUCGGGACGUACCGCCGGACCAGCGAGAUCGCCCUGGAAGCGCUUCGCACCGGCUUGAGGCAAGCCUUUGGGGUCUUCGGCUCCCACUAUUCCGGCAUCAACUUCGCCGGGAUGAGCGGGGGAUACGCCACCGGCUACUACGAGGCCGAGCUGGAUGAGAUCGACGUGUCGGUGCUCAGCCCGGCGGAGGCCUUGGUGAAGCUCCUCGAGGAUGAGGCCGUCCCGCCCGAAGAUCCCCGGACGAGUUAACUAUAUCGGGCUGGCGCCCCAGAUGUAAAUACGUUAGGGAAAGACUUGUUUUUUGUGAGGGCCGUAGAGGCCUUUUCUAUGAAUUGUCGUAAAAAAGUUUUUGAUUCCCUUUCUUGCUUUUUGGACUUGGAAAGUUUAGAGCACGUUGUCGGGCGUGUCAGUAAGCUUUGAUGAGCGAAGGCACCGUAGCCGCUGGGGCGUCGUUUUUUUUGCAGUCCGAUCAAUCUUGCCUGAACACCGUUCGUGCACUUUCUCCUUUUUAUGCCCAAAAGUUCAGAAAGAGGGUCGGCUCGGAAAGAGAAAGCGUUUUGAGAGGGUGUCAAGUGGCUUAGGUACUUGCGGCAGGUUGCGUGGUGGACGCGGAUAUCCUUCUCCCUGACAGAUCUGCGGCGCAUUUAUGGUGAGAUCAACAUGGGGACCCACAAGACCCGCGCCCAAGGCGGAUACUUGUCUGGAGGGCCCGGGUUAGCCCGACCCCCUACGCUUGGGGUCAGGCGAGGCGGAGACUUGCGGCGGGGGGUUGGACGCUCCUGACCCUAGACCUGCGGUCGGGCGAGGCGGAGCUUGGUCUUCCAGGGGUCGGGGGCGCCUUACCCCGGGAUGCGGGGUCGGGCGAGGCGGAGCGUAAUUCUUGCCUCCCAUGUUGGGCCGACGGCAAUCUUUGUUACCUUGGGUGGGCCUGGGCCUUUAUGUUUUGUUGUUUCCAUGGGCUUCGAGAGGUCGUUAAUAUUUCCCCCCAACACUAUGAGGAGGACUUGUGGGCAGAAAGUCAGCUACCACAAACUUGCCUCUGAAUAUUUGGAGUGCAAACAUUGGAUGGUGGUUGUGGAGAGCCCCAGCCAUACCUCGCACCCGUGGAGAGGUAAUUGUCGGAUUGCUUGGUUCGUCUCUAGAAUGCGACAAGGUCAGGCGCCACCUCUCACUGCUGCCAGUCAGAAGGCCGAGGGGCCAGUUUCAACAUAGUAAUGAGAAUCUCCGAAGGCCAAUAUGGUUAAGCAGCUAACCUCCAUGAUCAUAGACUUACGUUUAGAAAAUAGGAGGCUUAGCGAUGCGUUAACAGAGCAGAAGUUAGAAACAGAAGAACUUAAGGACGACUUCCGUGUCCUCCGCCUUGGUCUUUGUGCUAAGAUAAAGCGCUUGUACAAUGCCACGGGGAAUGACGGUCUCUACGAUGCAGCUCAAUAGACGUGCCCCUUGUAUCCUUUCCUUUAGGCACUUUAGAAUAUGUUUAUUUGUUUUCCUUCAUUUUAAUUUCCAAUAGAUUGUUAGCGCCUCCAAUUUAAUUUCAAUAAAGUGUAGACUCACCGGUCAUCCAACUUGAUGGAGUCCUUUUGUCACCUAGUUGUCUUUGGAAGAAGUAGCUGGGUACAAAAUAAGUGUGGGGGAGAGCCACAGACUCUCUAGAGCUGAAACAAUGCACAACACCCACAAAUAGAGAAAACCACGCUGCACCAGCACGUACGUGAAAGUGGAGCCAGAGCUGGACCCAUAGGGGUUUGGCCAACCCAAGGGGUGGCCCACUCGGGCCAUCUUCAUCCACCGCGUCGGUUUGUGUCUCUUUACCCCUGAUCUCCCUGAUUCAUGAGUUUGAAUGAAUUUUAAAUCUGAUCAACUAAUUCAAACUCAACUAAAAUGAAUCAACUGCUCCACCUGCUCUACAUGUUUUCUAUGGUUGGCUUGCAUAUGUUUUAUUUCAUGCUUAUCAUCUUGAUGCUUGUGAACAAAUAUCUUUAGGACAGCAUGCUCAUCUAAGUAGUUGAUGUGUAUGAUAUGGUUCGAUGAUAUGAUCUUCACUCUUAAUGCUUAAGUGCUUGGGAAAAUCUAUUUGAAAAUUUAAAAGCCUUUUUGAAAUCUCCUCUUUGAUGUGCCAAAGUCCUACCAAAGCCAUAUGAUAAGUUAUCUUGAAAAACCAUUUGCAUAUGUUGCUUGUCUUUGCAUUGAGCUUUGUCAAAUUGGUGUGACCCUUGUCACAAUUCUUUUCAUACUUUCAUGAUCAAGACUCAUGUGCACGCCAUAUACCCCUUGCUAUGCUUCUAUGAGAUGUUAGCAUUGUACCAUCCAUUCAUUCCACAAAAUAAAUGCUCCACCAUAUGUGUUGGUCUCCUUCUAAGAUUAUUGUUACAAAAGAGAUAUGGGCUAUCAAAAAAAAAUAUGAAUGUCCAAGAAAGUUGGACACAUGAAUGUCCAAUAAAAAGAAAAAGAAAGAUAGCCAUGUCCUCAGAAAUAUUUACAAAGGGAGAGAGAUCAUACAAAAAGGAGUUUCCAUUCCAUCCACCACAUCCAUACAUGUGCACAUCUUGAUCUGAUUGUAUGACUUAUUUUUCUCUUUGGAUCUGGUCUUUGACUUUGCAAUAUAUGUGAUGCAAGCAUGCCUUAUCCUUCAUAGCCUACCUUGAGCUCCACAUAUAGCCAUCAUUAGAAGUAGGAUGAAGAAAGGCAAGUCUAAUGCCUUGGUGAGGACAUAUACACAUUGAGUGAUCUGAGAGAAUCAAAUGAGGAGCUAAGCAAGGUUUUGUUUUGAAAACUAAUUGAAAAAUCCCAAGCUACUUGGCAUAAGGAGUUGAGGUGACUUGAUUCAAGACCAUUACAUUCCUCAACUACCCAAGAUGGCAUGAUAGACACUCCAAAGUUCACAAGUGCAGGUAUGGUUUGGAAUAUCUUUUAGGCUCGCUUCAUACCUUUGAAAGUUAUGUUUCACCUUAGUCCUUUCUCGUUCACUCAAGGAUAAGCAAAGGCUAAGUGUGGGGGUGUUGUUGAUGGCUCUUAAGUACAAAAUCUGCGCCAUCAACUCUUGCAUAAACACAUAAAAUAUGAGCAUCAACAAUAGUGGUAGGAGUUAUUACAAACGAAUUCCACAAGUCUUGGUGAAUAUUUGUAUGCAAGCCCAAUAGGAGAGAAAAGACACCUCAAAAGCAAGGAAACACACUCUCAACCAAUCAAGAGCAAGCACAUGGAACCAUGGGCCCACAACCAAAAGGAAAUCGACUACAUUCCAAACACCCUAUACCCACAUGAGAACCCAUAGGGCAGUGACCCAGAGCAAAGGUGAUGCCAGAGUGUAGAUGGUAGUUAGCAUGCCAAAUUUUGAACCGCAAGCGCUCGGAUUAGUUGUUUCUUUUCCCUUAGAGAUUCCCCCAAGGUUUAUCAAUCCAUGGAACAAGGGAUUUGCACGUUUCACUAAGCACUAAUCAAUGUAAUUGAAAGCUUUUCGAAUAAGAUAUGAUUAUGCUAACAAAGGAACUAAGCAAUCUAGAUUAAGAUGGAUAGAGAGUACAGGUUGUGAACAAGAUAGAUUAAACGCUUGUAGAUGCAAUCACCAUGCAUGAAUGAAUUAGAUCUAGGUGUUAUUGUGAGUGGUUGUGAACCAUGCCCAACACUUUCCCACCCGCAACAUUGUCACUACAUGUGGGUACUCAACUAUCGGAACAUAAGAACACAUCAAGAUGAUCAUUCUAGGUAAGCAAAUAAGCAACCCAAAGUAGCGCUGGCCAGCCUUUUCAUGAAAGAGCAUCAUCAAGAUAAGAUUGAUAACAAAAUAGAUCUCAACCAAAGGUUCAGCGAUUACAAAUCAAGAUCUUCGUAUAACCCCGAUGACAAAUAGAGGUAUUACCCCCAUGAUCUUACACAUGUUGAUGAAUUUUAGGGUAAAGGACACCCUGUAGAUCAACUGGACCAAAGAUGAUGAUGAACGGGGGCAGGGAAGGCCCAGGUUGAUCAGCCUGCGCACUUUUGAGCCGAUCAGCUCAGGGGGUUUCCUCCUCCCCUGGUGCUCCUCUUCGCGUGGCCUCCUCUGGAUCCAAUCUUCUCUUCAUUUCUCCUACUUGUGGCGGCAAUGGAUGGUGUUUGCAUGGUGAUUUCCUCUUCUCCCCAACUCUCCCUCCUUGAAGUCCAUGAGGGGGUAUUAAUAGUCUCCAAUAGGCGGCAGCUCUGGGUCAAUGUCAGUGAAAAAAUCCUAGAGAUCAUCGUACACUUCAUGCUGAGGAAACAAGAGGUUGACCGAGCCCUGGGAUAGACCAAGAGGAUCAUCCUAGAGGGUCCCAGGCUAAUCGGUCUAGGCCCUUCCUAGCCCUUCUAGUCCUCUCCUUCCUCGUGCUGGCUUUUCUCGAUGACCCUUGUCCAAAUAUCCAUGAAGCUCUAUAUACAUACCCCCUUGAUUAUGUUGUAUUUCCUGUCAAAAUACAAUGCUCCAAAAUACAACACAUAUGCAAUAAUAGGGUUAUUUCAGGUGCCAAUUGGUGGGUUAGUAUACGAAUAAGCAUGAAAAUACUGUUUAAAUGACACUAAAAGUGUGUCAAUAACGAGCACCAACAAUCCCCCCACGCUUAGAUCUUGCUCGUCCUCGAGCAAGUCUAGCGACUAAAAGAUCUUGAAUUAAACCUGAGCAAGCGAGUCAAGUACCUAGCCUUGAAACAAAAGAUUAGAGGAGCAGCAAAGAUAAUCAAAGUCUGGGUGUUCAAAGAUUUAUCUAAGCAAAGAUUCCCCUACAACUAUUAUUCAGAACCAAGUAACUUCAAAAAUCAACUACACUUAUUUUCUGGCUUUUUUCAGAGGGUUUUUCUUUCAUCAUAAAACAAUCUCCCUGCAACAAAAUUGAAAAAAGAAUUAUUUUCAAGGUGCUUACAUGUCGCUUAAAUGAAUGUUGGCUAUCCUACUUAUUUGCAAGCUCUCAUCUCUCAAAAUUCAUUCAAUUAUAUGGUGGAGUUUGGGUAAGGUUAGCUAGAAUCAACACGUAUAUUAUUGAAUUAAGAAAACCCUCUAACGGUGGCCUACCUUCCGAGCCAUUGAUCAUAAGAAUAUCCACAUAAUGUGAAGUUUUCAAGGAUGAGAAGAUAUAGAAUGGUGGACAUGUGCAAAGGCAAAGAAAUAUAGUGACUCUGAGGCACAAGCAAUGUCCUCGUCGUUGGAUUGCAUAUGGUUGUAAUGAAAAUAUGUUCCUUAAACAAGUCUAUCUUUUCUUUGCACCACUCUUGAUCUUCAUGACAGUAAAAACUCCUCCUUUAUUUCUUUCUCUCUUUUCCUAUUAUUUCUUUUUAUUUGUCUCAAUACUUUUAUUUCUUUAUUUCUUUAUUUUAAUCUCUUCUCUGAACCUCUUCUGAACACCACAUAAUAAAAAUAAGUUUUAGAUCCUUCCAGAGACCUUCCAGGAAUUUGCUACAUGAAAACCGAGGCAAGGAGACCCCAGGCCGAUUGGCCUAGCCACUCCUUUGCUCUCCUCUAGCUCUUCUUUCUGGUGAAGCUUCCUUAUCUUGUAUCUUUCCAAAAAUUUCAUAAAGCUCGACUAGAAACGGAACAGAUCUUCAUAUAAUGAGUUGUGUUCAAGGAAUUGGUAAUAAAAUUGAGAAAUUUGUGGUUCGGGUUUACGAAUUCAGUACAAAAAUAUGAUUGUUCCAAUGAAGAACUCUCAUUACUGAAUAUUGACGAGGCAAGCAUUCAAAGAUGGUAAAAAGGAUAUGAUCAAUUCUCAAAAUUAAAGCAAACCAAGAGAGAGCGAUCCUAAUUCAAUUCAAAGUGUCAAAUGUUGCUUAUGGUGGUAUGAAUAAAUAUUUUUAGGCAUUGGGUAGGAUAAAUAAAAACUCUCAACCUGGUUAAAAGAUAUUGAUCAAUCUUGUUUUUGCAGAGGUUUUAAAUAAAAAAUAAAAUUUUAAAUCACCUCCAAUUCAAAGCCUUACUCAUAAAUCAUAAUCAAAACUGAAGCACUUGAUCAUCAUAAAGCAUGGGUAUUGCAUAAACAAAUCGAUUACUAAAACUCCACAACUACGAUUUAGAAUUCAAGACAAUGCUCAUAAUCUAAAGUUGCAAAGAUAAAAUAAAAGACAACCAAGCCAAGGUAGACACUAAAAACACUUGCACGAUCCUUGAAUUUUAUUCAUGCUUCUUCUCACAAAGACGCUAAAGUAGCCAUGUAGGCCUAAGUCUUCCCAAAAGCUUAAGAAAACUACUACUUUAUCUACUUUUGGUUGAAAUAAAAAGACUAAUCUAGACUCUCACAUGAUUCGACUCGACCAAAUUAGAUCCAAAAACUCAUACGAGCGACGAUCUCCCCCCCCUCACGCUUAAAAUCUACGACCUCCUCGUCGUAGCCAUAUGGAGUACAAGGAAAAGAAGCUUGUAAACGCUCUAAUGACGCUACCCGCACUACUUGCACACGGGAUGGUUGCUGCUUCCUUCGCUUUGUUCUUCCUCAUGUUGCUGCACAUCCCGAAGAGCUUCCUCACGUUCCUCUGCAAGAACUUGAACUCGUCCUCCUGACGGCGAUCAUUAUCUUCUGCCUUUUGAUCCAGAGCUUGUAAGGCUUGCAUGAUGUCAUCGAACGCAUCGAAGAGGUAGUGGAUGUUCUUCCUGCAAGCUGUGGAACAUGUACGAUCAUGCUCCUCCGAUUCUGGCCCGUCGUCUUCUAGAUCCUUCUCUUUGCCCUUGUCUUGACGGUGGCUAUCUUGCUCCUUGCUCGCCUUCUUGCCUUCAGCCCAAUCCCAGUACGUGUUGUCAUCUUCUUCAUCGUCACGGCCUGCAGCACCCUAUGAUCCAUUGUCUAUCUUGUAUGAAAGAAUCAGAAGCUUGUUCUCCUCAGGGUGUCUUGCGCGGUGCAGCGUUUGCAAGUGCAAGACUUGCUAGUUCCUUUUACACAUUGUAAUGUUCAUUGCAUGCUCUAAUUGUUCUACAUUUGUAAUUUCUUGGUGAAGUUUGGUUACUGAUCCACUGUUUGAUUAACUCUUGGGCCCAAACACUGUACUACUUCUGAUUAGAUAUCUGUAUCUUGACUUUGACCAAAAAAAAUAUCCGGCAGUUUUUGCCAUUAAAGUUUCAUAAAUCAUCUUGCAAAAAUCGUACUAUACAACAAGGGACGGUUUAUUAUAAAAUAUACGUUCCCCUUAUCACAUGCCACUUCCACUCAAAAGGCAACGAAUCAGUUUUCAAUCCUGAGUGAGCAAUUUGCUUUUAUUACCGAUGCCUCCUAUUCCCUUGUGCACCAAGUUUAUUUUGGAUAGGGCUGCAAAAAACGACUAACCAGCUCGGAUUCUCCACCUGCAAAACCGCAUCUGCAGCAACCAACCCCACGCGGUGGAAAAAAAAACAAAACCUAGAAACCGGACGGGGGUGGAUGUGGGGCUCGGAGCCCAAGCAAAAAACGGAUCGGGAGCGCCGGAGCAGGCCAUCACCGGAUGUUAGAGAUAGAAAAUGGUUGAAGUUUGGAGUGGAAAUCAAACAAGCCUUGGAGCAAAGGAAAAAAAAAGAUCAAACCACUCAAGCAUUCAUUUGAUUUAGAAAAGAGAACAUUUGUUAAGGUGGGGAGUUGAAAUCAUCUUUUAAUUAGUUCCACGUAUCUGGUAUCAUUACAGUUGGUUUACUUGUGUAAGUAUAAGUAGCUCUGCCGAAGCCUUUGCUCCUAUAAUUUAGUAACUAGUACAAAUGGAUCAAUAGGAAAAUCAAGUUGCAAUCAUUUCUCAGCCAACCAAACCUAUGUAAAUCAAAUUAUUGUCCAUGCCCGGCAUGCACAGGUGCCUGCCAUGCAUGCAUUGUUGCUCCAUUGUAAUAACCAUUAUUGUCCAUCGAUGUUGCAGCGCAUGUGUGCACUGUGCAGACACCAAGCAUCGAGAUUAUGUACUAGUAAGGUGUUGAAAUAAUGGGCCUAGCCCAUAAGUAAUUUCAGAAUUUCAAAUAAAUCUCAAAGGCCCAUGUGGGCAAGAGGUGGAGUGGUGCAAGUCUUUAGUCCCACAUUGCUAGUCGAGGGGAGGGAUGACCAACUUAAAUAUGGAAGUUGUCUCCACUCCUCCAAGCUAUGUGUGAAGGGCGCGGGCGCGAGGCACUUGCGUGAAUGGUCCGCCGAAAUCUGGCCCCCCUUGCGGGGGCGCGGCUUCCUUUUGCCGUUUUAUUUUUUGGUUACUUGGUCGUUAAGUCAUGGAAUCCUAACCGGUUUAGAUCACGAUCGUGAAGGUUUUUGGGAAGCGCUCUGCGCGACUGCUCGAUCGCUUCUUCCGCUUCGUCAAGUUCUUCGUCGACUCCUUCACCACGGCUCGUCUACCUCUUCGUCGCUCGGGCCUCACUCGUCGUCGCGAACAACGUCAGGCUGCUGAUCGUCGUCGCCUGCUGUAUCCGGUAGUCGUCCAGGAGCCGGUUUUCAUCAAGAAAGAAACGUACGGUCUCUUAACUCACAUUAUGUCUUCCAUACUAGCUAUUAUGAUUGUUGCAGUCUGAUAGCUCUGGAUAGUAUGGUAGAAUGUCUGAUUCUAUUUGCAAUGAUAGACUUGUCUAGAUCUUGCGUAGACAUGUCUAGUUUAAUCUGCUGCUUGUUCAUCAUAUUCAUGAUUUAUUUCUGGAUUAAGUUAAAACUAAAAGUGCUUAUAUAUCCAACAUAAGGUACCAAGAACACGUGAAGCACCCGGGGGAGGCUGCUCCACUCCGCAUGCACAGGUGGGCACGGCACCACUACUCGUCUCCUUCAGGCUGAGGAUAAGUGAUGUACGCUGAUCAACAGACCACGACGGAACCAGCAAUAAUAGUUUCAGCCUGCCUCACAGUAAUUAAUAUAUCCUGUAUCCUCCGAGGACCCCUCCCCUUAAUCUUGGCCUAUUGCAUCCAAUAAUGAUAUGUGUGUUUAUCCAAAUUUACGGCACCUUUGGCGGGGGUUCCACCCAGCUCCGCCCUCUCCACCUUCGGUACUCCAUGGGAAACCAUUCCUUUGGAAUCAAGGAAGCUUGAACAGUAUAACGAAUAAAGUUUCAUAUAUCCAUUUGAUUUCACAUGAAAUAAAAUAUUCUGUCAGAACCAAUGGUUUCACUGAAGCUCCAGGCAGCGAGCGAAGGGGUGAGAGAGGAUAACGCUUACUGUGUGUUACCAUCGCGUGCACCAUGGAUGACCAACGCGCAGCCGAGAUGAAACGGCGGACCUAAACAGGUCCUCGCUAUUUUUGCAGGUUCUCGACCAGGCCAGUUCUUUAGGCCAACCUAUCAUUCACGAGUUAAACAUACGGUGGCUGGAGAAAUGUUCUAUUCUUUUAAACAAUACCAGCUGGUUCCUCCGUUUUUAUUCCACCAAUACAAGCACCACCUUGUAACAUUUCCUAUGUUUUUUUUCCUUUCGUCUGUUUUCUCACUACAUGCGUUGCUCUUUCAUGCAUUUUUUUCCAUUCCUGUAUUCCAAAUAGGUCUACAUGAACACAAAAUGAACUAGGGGACAGAAAAAGCCAGUGAAGUUAGUUUUGAGCUUCACCAGCUACUUGCUACAUAAAGUGUGCUAUAGUCGCAGAAAAGCUAAGCUGGAUCAGACGUGGCCGAAACAAUGCCAAAGAGCUAGGUCCCUAGCUGAUGGCAACACAUCAGAUGACUAGCCUGCUUUUCUGUAAUAAUGAUAUUGAGCAAUACACUGCAUGGCUAACCUGCUUUACAAUAAUUGUCAUUUUAUAAUAUUGGUCAUCACGAGAGAUGCACAUUGCAUACACCGGCCCAUCCCUAUAAAUAGCCAAGCCUUUCAGCCAUCUUGGGCACCUCCUCUCAGGGCCUCGUCUCACCAUCAGACAUCUCGUUCCCAGUUAUAAUUUGCGAGGUUAGAUCAGGCUGCGCCAUGGCGUCCGCAACUGCUGUCAAGAUCGUCGCCACCUUCAUGCUGGUGCUGACCAUGGGCCACCUGAUGGCCGAAGCAUCACCGCAGCCUCGGCGUGUGCUUGCAGAAACGGAGCAUGCUGCGGUGUCCGGGAAUCCUGGCCUCCCAGGUGAUGCUAGCGUCAUGCAGGUCCUCGAACCCGCCCUAGUUUCUCGGCUUGCCUGCAAACCAGAGUGCACAGUCCCUUGGCCUCCUUUUGUAUGUAUCUGCUAGAUCCUCUUCCUGGCUCAACGGAACUUCAGGGAAAUGGCUGUGACGUCGGCCAAAGAAUAAAUUGGAUGAACAUAAUAUACCCCGGGUAGUGUAGCUUGGGCUUUUGUUGAGCGUCUGGUGCUAGUUGUAUUUUGUUUGCUCAUGUGGCUUUGCUUCUGGUUGCAUAUUGGCUUUCCUAUCGCUCUCUGUUGCAGCUAUGGUUUCUGCCAGGUGUGUGUUAAUGCGGUUUGUAAGCGGUGCUUGUUCCUACCUUCUGUUUUCAAUAAAAGAAGUCGGAGUCUCCCUCCGACUCUUGUUAUCAGUCAACAAAAAUGAGUUGUAUCAUAUAUAUCUGCGUCUUUUUUCUACGUAUCUUUGGGCUGCUUCAGCUGGAAGUUUAUCGUAAGUACGUGUAUCAGGAUGAUCGUUUGAAUUAAAACGAAAUGAUAAUGUGUGGCUGCUAGAAAUGGAAUGAGCAUCUUACUAUAUUACUAAUUGGAAGCCUCCACGUGAAGCCACCUAGAAAUUCUAGGUGGACGUUUUAAAAAAAACAAAACUCAUAGAAGCCUCCACCACCUAGGAAUCCUAGGUGGACACUCUAAAAAGAGACAAAUCCUAGAAAUUCUAAAAAAAGAAAAAAAUAAUAACAAUAAGAUUUUUUUGCAGUCAAUUACAUAUAUUUUUUUGAGACACCGUGCUGCUAGCUCUUGCCAUUGCGACCAGUAAAGCAAGCAGAUAGUAAGAUGACAUGCGUGUGGAUUGAUUAAAACAAAUUCAGUUAGUUGAUUCUAAAUCGUAUGUAUCCUAAAAGGAAGAUAUGUGCGUGCAUGGUCCCUAGCGAUGACAUGUAGACAUGUAUUGCAAUUUCUUUUUUAAAAAACAUGUCUAUCUCUAAACCAACAAACAGAAAAAAUAUCAAUCUAAAUCUAAAUCUCUUCCGUUCUCACACGCCUAUUAAAGAGAAGACAACCAAUCCCAUCCAUGUUCCAUAGAAUCCAUCUAAAAGCUUGCUCACUGCGGACGGCAUUUGACGGCAAAUCAAUGAAAGAUCAUCCUCUCCAAAUAGCUGGACGGCAUCACCAUCUUUAUCUCACCAACCUACAGAGCUACAACGAUGUUGUAGAGAUCAACUAGGUAACCUACCAAUCACCCUCCCCUUUUCUAUAUGCUCUAAAGAACACGUGGAGUAAUUAUAGGCCUAUAGGAGCCGACUAACCUAGAUUAAUAUGAAAAAUAUUCCAAUAUUAAAAGCAAGCAGAUAGUAAUACUUGCCUUUGACCAUUUUUCUAGAACUGUUAUUCCUAUUGAAUGUUCAAGUGCUACGGCCAGGCAUCGAAUGCCUGCACGGAACCUUCCUAUUGAAUGGUUACUCUAGAGAUCAACGCACCGCGAGACAUUUUUAUGGAAUUUGUUUGAUUCCCCUUCUACAAUUAGAUUAAUUUUUCAUGGCAUAUAUUACUACUAUUAAAUUAUUUGUUUAUUGUCGGGCCUGCUGCAUGUGUGGUAUAUAUGACUUGCUUCUCACCAUUGUUCUCAAACUAUUAUUCCUAUCGAAUCUUUCUAUCGAAAUAUAUUUUAAUUACUUGAUUGUUGUUUGUGUACCAUAACUUCUGUAUAGAAAAAUUCCAUGUUUGUAGAUAAUGUCUUUUGUAUAGAAAAAUAGCCCAAUUAGAUCCAUCACCAUCUUUUGCUUAUGUAGUUGAACAAGUUGCAAUGUUGAACAAAACUUUAAGUGAAAUUAGACCAGGAAAAGGAAUUGUGGAACAUUAAGGCAAGGGUAACCAGAUUGUGGAAUGCAACCUUACUCAGUAGUGGCGAACAAUUAAGUCUUGACAUGAUCCUUAUUGAUCAAAAGGUAUGAUAGAUGUUCACUUUGAUUGCAUUAUUGGUAUAAUUUUUGGUUUACAAAUUAUUAAUGAUGAUGCAAAAUUAGGGAACCAUGAUCCACGGUGUUAUCAAUAAGCCCUAUAUGAAAAAGUUCAAACCAUUGAUUGAAGAAGGCAAUGUGUACAUAAUUGCAAAUGUCAGAAUCACACCAGAACCACAGAAGUAUCGGCCAGUGGAAAAUGACAGGAUAGUCAACUUCUUACCCACAACUGCACUAAAAACGAUCAAAGAUACUGAAGACAUUCCAAAGUAUAGUUUUAACUUCAUGAGCACGGAUAUGCUUUCAGCAAGAAUAAAUGUGGACAUGUACCUAUUAGGUAAAACAUUACUGGCUUUUCAAUUUUUACACUUCCACUCAUUAAAUGACCAUCUAAUAAUAAUACAUAUUUAUGUUUCAUAGAUGUUAUAGGUAUCUCAGCUCACAUUGGACCGAUAGAAGAAACAAGGACAAACUUCGGAUUUACUAAAAUCCGUGAUAUUGUGCUCCUGAUCGAGUAAUUCUCUUUUCUUUUGUAGAAAACAACUACAAAACUUUCAACAUUUACAUGUAUGUUAUAGAACUUCUGUUGAACUAAAAAAUAUCUUCUACAGUGCCCCUACAAAUAAUUAAUUUCGUAGUUGGAUAUUUAAAAUAUUUAUUAUUCACUUUUAAAUUUGUGGCCAUGAAGUUAAAGUUAGAUUUUGGGGAGACAAAGUUGAGGAAGUUGAUGAUAAGACAAAAUCCCAUGUCAUUGCAAUAACAUCUACAACUGUGAGUAAAUUUGGCAGUAAGUCUUCAUUCAAUAUGAGUUAUUCAAUAUUAGUCAUUCAACAAACUAACCUCGUAAGAAAAAUAAAUAAUUGAUGUUUUAUCAGGGUAUUCUCUAUCGUCAACCAAUGCAACAAAACUUUAUGUAGAUCUACCUAUUCCUGAAACUAAGGAUGCACAUGAUAGGUGAGAAAAAUUAGAUAUUGUUUUUCUAUUUUAAUCUAUGUAGCAUGCACUCUAACAUGAUACAUUCUUUCAUAUGAUAAAAAAAUGUUAGUUCAAUUGAAAAUAUUGUCAAAGAGAUUCAUAUUGAGGACCAUCUAAAAGGGACAUUGGAAGACCAAAUGCAGUACAAUAGAAGAACUUUAGAAGAAUUAAAUUUCAUAUUAUUUGAAACAUCAAAUCAGGUAUGGAUUAGUAUGUUCAUUGUACACUAUACUAUUUAAAGACUUACAUACAUAAUGAUGGUAUUGUUCCUACUUUCAGGAUGAGGUAUUUACUAUUGAAGCAACAAUAAAUGAAAUUAAUGCAACAUAUGGUUGGUUGUCACACCCGAUUUUAAGGACAAAAUUGAGUGCAUUAAAUACAUGUGCACCAGGAUCAAGUUACACACAUCCUAUGAGUACCGUCCUUCUUUGGCACAAAGAUAACCGGUGCUCCCCAUGGUGAUGAACUAGGCCGAAUAAACUAUUUUGCUGAUAAUUCCUCUAGUUGUUGUUUCAAUUCUUUUAAUUGUUCAACCAACAUUCUAUAAGGACGUUUGGAGAUAGGUGCAGUACCAGGUAAAAGAUCAAUAGCAAAUUCAAUGUCGCGGUCAGGUGGCAUACCUGGUAAAUCGUCGGGGAACACAUCCGGAUAGUCACACACCACUUUGAUAUCUUCCAAGGAUUUUCCAGCCAACUGAUUAACUGCACAAUCUGCUGCUGAGGGUAGAGUAGCUACAAACUCCACUUUCUCUCCAUCAGGACCUGUUAGCAGAACUGUCCUCUUGGCACACUGAAUCGUUGCAUCAAAAGCGGCUAACCACCUCAUCCCCAGAAUUACAUCGAUUCCACUGGACUCAAGGACGAUAAGAUCAGCCGGAAACUCUAUACCCAUUAUUCUCAGUUUAACUUGUGGACAGAUGUAUUGAGCCUUCAUUGACCCCCCAGGUGAACUCACUAGCAUAUGACGCCUCAUGGUAUGCAUGGGUAAAUUAUGCUUUGCUACAUAAUGACUAGUGACAAAAGAAUGCGAUGCUCCAGAGUCAAAUAAAACUGAUGCGGGGGCAGAGUUGACAAAGAACAUACCAAGCACUACAUCUGGAGCCUCCUUAGCAGUCUCGGCUUCCAUGUGGUUCACCUUGCCACAAACAAAGCUUUGCUGCCCCUGAUUGCCUUGUGGGGUCUGGUUCCCAUUCCUCGGUUGCUGCAUCUGAUUCUGCCGAGGAGCACUGCUGUUCUGCACGGGGGUAGCUGGCCCACCUCUCUUAGGACAAGAGCUGGCAUAGUGACCAACCUCGCCACACUUGAAGCAGGUAGGACCCACUGGAGCAUUGGGCCUUGUUGGAGUGCCAGUAGGGGUCAUCUGGCGGUUCUGCGUAAAGCUUGGGCGCGGAGUCUGCAUAGUCUGCAUCCCUGGAUGCUGGAACUGAGGGCUAGGGCGCUGGAAUGACUGCUGAGCAGGGCGCGGAAAUGAGUGCUGCCAAAAAUUCCCACUCGGGCCCCCUGCGCGGAACGGCGUCCCUUGCUGUGGAGCAAAGCGAGGGCGGGUGUUGCUUCCUGAAGACUACUGGGAAUUGAAUUUCCUCUUCAUCUCCCCGAGCUCGUUCCUCUUGUGUUCCAGGCCAAUUGCCUUGUCUAGCAUCUUCUGGAAACUGGGGAAGGUGUGCGACAUAAGCUGAUAUUGGAGUGGUCCAAUCAACCCAUCCAAGAAUAGCUCCUGCUUCUGCUCAUCAUCAGCAACAUCUUCGGGAGCAUAUCGGGACAACUGGACAAACUUGUCCCUGUACUCUGCCACUGUCAUGUUCCCCUGCUUGAGAGCAAGGAACUCCUUCUUCUUAAGCUUCAUCAAUCCGGAAGGAAUAUGAUGACUUCUGAAGCUAGUCCUGAAUUCAUCCCAGGUGAUGCCAUUAGCAUUGGCAUGGGUGGUGGUGUAAGCAUCCCACCAAUCAGCAGCUGGCCCUUCCAGGCGUCCUGAAGCAUACAGGACCUUCUCCCUGUCAGUACAUUGGGCGAUAUCCAGCAUCUUCUCCACUGUUUUCAGCCAAUCAUCAGCAUCUAAUGGAUCCGGAGAAUGUGAAAACGUCGGGGGCUUGUGGCUCAUGAACUCCCUAUGCCUGUCCCUUGGCGGCGGCUGCUGCUGGUUGUUGUUGUUGUUAUUGUUCAGCUGAGCUUGUAAAGCUGCCACGGUGUUGGUCAGUCCGGCGAGAAGCUGAGUCUGAGCUGCUAGAAACUGCUCCAUCCCUGCAGGUGCUUGUUGGUUCUGUUGCGGAGCGGUGUUGGGAUUGCUGCUGUUGUCCCUGUGGCGUGGCACUGUGGGACGGUCAACUCCUGAUCCGGACCUGGUGUUUACCAUCUGAGCGUUAGAGACAAUGGAUUUAGAUAGAUGUGUGAAAGAAUAACUGAGAAAGAUAAAGCGACCAGAUGUAAAAGUAACACAGAUUCUGUUAGCUCCAUUUAAUUAGGUGUGGUCGUCAGAAGAAGUGUCCAUAAAUUCUGAACAAUUACCAAGUCGUAACUUAUUAAAUUUGUAAACCAACCCAACUGGAAUCAUCUCAAUCGGACUUCUGGAUCUCGAGUUACAAAAUUAACAAGCUGACAGUGUCGGUCGAUAGGUUCAGAUUCUGAGUGCUUUACUAAUUCGCAUACACCUCCCAGACAGAUACACCAAAAAUUCUGAAAAAUUUACAGAUAGUACUCCACGAAAUUCUGAAACUAACCCCACUGGUUUCAUGUCAUUUGGACUUCUGUAGCUAGAGAUAUAAAUAAAAAAGUACUGGCGUGUCAGUUAAUGUCGAGAACAGAAUUGAAUGUCGCUUAGCUUGCGUGAUGGAUAGAUUUAGACAGAUGGUAGAUCAUGAUUAAGGAAGAUUAAAUACUGAUUUAGAACAGAAAUAAAACCCAACUAAGCACUUUAUUUAUUAAGACCAGUAUCGUGUGGCAAUUGCCCCACAUACCGCACUCAUUACAAAAUCCAACUCAAACAUGUAGCACAAAACCAAUCAUCUAAGCACACUUUAACUAACACACUCGAACGACGUCUAACGAUUACAAGAAUUUAAACUAAAACACUCCUAAUUUCCUAGAGGUCUUCUGCGGCGGUGCCGGGCGAGUCGUAGCGGGGACGCUUAGGCGACGGCGACGAAGCGGGAUGAACAGCAAACUCCUGCGGCGGCGGUGCUCCCGUCGCGGCAGCCAUAUUCGCAUCCCUCUCCCACCGGAGUUCCUGAACCUCCUGUUGAAGCUCCUGGAUGUGGUUGUUUGCUUCAUUCAAUGCGGUGAGAGCUGCCGACGUGUACUUGCGGAGGAAGUCUGUAGCCAUGUCAACCCCAUCGUUAGUAGCGAUGAAGGUUCUUGCUUCCCCACUAGCUCGGUAAGGAAGGAACCGAUGGUAAGUGUGCUGCAAUCGCGGCCGUUCCUUGUGGGAGACGACCUCAAGUGCCCUCCUGGCGGCCUCGGCAAUGCCGGAUUCCAUGGUCCUCCUUAUGGUCACAUCAUGGUGAAAAGCCUUCACCUCCCAUCCUCCCUCGUGCUCCUCACGAAGGACAACCUUCACCUCCCAAAAAGUGGGAUAGCGAGGGUGGGUGAACCGGGAGCACUUGUAGAGUGGCCUCAUGCCGUACCCCAAGCGGUGACAAGUCCACCUGAGUAUGUCGGCCAUGUGCACUCCUUGGCCAUAAUCUUCCUUCACCCAUUUGAUCCAUGUCUCGGGCUCGGGAUCUGCUUCGGGCUCAUCAUCCGUCAAGUCGACGACCGGUACGGGCGUCGGGGCUGGUGCAGGAGCGGGCGCCGGUGCUGGCGACGGUGCUGGUGACGGCGUGGUCUCCUGCUCCACGGUCACGGCGUCCCCGUCAGAGUCAUCCCCCGGAUGCUGGAAGAUCUCUUCCUCUUCUUCCUCGUCCCAAGGCUCCAUGGGGGCGUACGACGGCGCGAUGCCAUGACGCGGCGGACGGGUGCUCUUGCGUGCGGUCAACCGGGUGCGAGCCAUCUAACAGAAAGAAAGAAGAAAAUUUUAGAAUAAAAUUUUGAACAAAGCUAGAUAAUAAAAUAGCAAUAAGGAUGAGACAAAUCAAGUUUAAGAAUAAUUAAGUAGAUUUAAAUUAAGAAAGGUAGGAAUGGCUACUAGAUUAUUAUAAUCCUUAAAUACGACCAUUUUCUAACUAGGCUAACGUCCUACAGUCAACACGGCUCUGGUACCACUUUUGUCACACCCGAUUUUAAGGACAAAAUCGAGUGCAUUAAAUACAUGUGCGCCAGGAUCAAGUUACACACAUGUACGACAAUAGUGAAUAGUAAAGCCAGUGCUAAAUCGAAUAAAGAGAGUAUUAACCAUUAUUACAUGACCGAAUGUCUCAAAUAAACCACAAAGUCUAAUUAUUACGCAGCGGAACUCCAAAGAUGACGACGACUCCAUAGGCAGCUGACUGAAGAAACGUACGCCUAGAACUCCUCGAAGUCGUGGAAGUACUCCUCUUCCCAAUUAACUUGGUCUGAACAGCGGUUUUGCAAGGGUGAGUACACUUAUGGUUGGUACUCAACAAGUCGUGGGAAGUAGUGUAGUGUAAGGCUAAUUCAAGGUAUGGCUAAGGCGUAAAUAGCAUUCGCUUUUAAUUAAGUUGGUCAAAUUUUAUUAGCAUUUACUAAGUAUAAGUUCAUACCACCCGAAAUUAAACAUGAACAUAAAGUAAACCACAUGUGCAUGAAAUGAUAACAAAUUAAAUCCAUCUUCCGAUAAUAUUAUCAUGUGAGGGUCCAGGCCGCUCUUAACCGUGAGCACGGCUGAUUGAUCAGUUUAACACUCUGCAGAGGUGGCACAUCUUUACCCACAAGUCGCGUAAAAGUUCAAAAGAACUUUGGACCCAACCAUGCGGUGUUUGCAAGGCACCAUACCACACUUCCGAGGUGUGAUUGCAUAGGGACGCUACGAGGCCUUUACAAAGAUUCAUUAAUCAGUGGUAACCCGCUAAGGUUUCGGUGUCUGGCGUGCACCACCCAUCCCAGGUAAAAUGCAACGACUCAGUCCCCCCCCUUGAAUCAUCACGAGUAAGGUCACCCCAGACUAAGGUUUCUAAUUAAUCAGCCAAGACCAGAGCUAUUUAGUCUUGUGGUAGCACUGUUUUCCUGGGUGGUCGCUCCAUGUUCUGAUUAACAAAUAAUGAUCUUGUCUUAAUGAAAGGUAUAACAGAAAUAAGGCAAGAUUAAGCAUUGUUUUUAGUUAAACCACCAUGUACCAAGUAAGCACUAAGCAUGAGCUACCCAACAUAAAGUAAACCGGUUGGUCAAGGCAAAGGUAAAACAAUCUAGGCCAACCUUAAUUGGGACCCAUCAAUUUAAUCUUAAUAUGUGCACAGCAUAAAUGUUGAGUACGAGAAAGUAAAGGUGUAUAGGACAAAAAGGUAGUGAUCAAGGACACGACUUGCCUUCUUGGCCUUGCUCCUGCUGUUCGUACUCCUCGAAGGCUUGAUCGGCAACUCCCUCGAACUGCGGGGCGUCUACACGCAUCACACGAGCACAUACAAGCAAACAUGGGCAAAAGUAAGAAAACAGUAUACCAAACAUAGUCAAACAGAGAAAACAAGCUUGAAAAGAUGAUCUACGCUUUAAAACGAACACGCGGAUAUAAAGAACGCGAAAAACGGAGUUAAGAUGCAAAAGAUAUGAUUAAAACAAAAUCCAGGGACUUUUCUGUAAGAAAAACAAAACUUUUAGGGCCUAUCCGCGAAAACCGAGGGCUUAUACGUAAUUAUGCGUAUAAACCGAGGGUCUGAUGCGUAAAAACAUCAAACCCGGACGGCGGGUUGAUUUCUGGAAAGGUCAAGGGUUAAACCGAAAAAUGCGAGGGCAGAUCUGUAAAUACUUUCAACGCGAUCUGGACCGCGGGUUGAUUUGCGAAAAAGGCGGGGGCUAAAGUGCAAAAACUGCACGGCGCGGCUCGGUUGACCGGUACGCGAUCUUGAUUGACUCGCGUCCGGCCGUCGGAUUAAGAUCCGACGGUCGCGGUGAUCCGCGACAUCGCGGCGGCGGCGGCGAGCGGCGGCGAGCGGCGGCAAGCGGCGGCGGGUCGCCGGAGUUAGGCAAAAUAGCGCCACGAGGCACGGUUUAACGCGCGGGUUGCACCAAAAAAGAGAGGGGAACACGUCGAUCCCGUUUUGGGGGUUCUUGUCGACGGGGGCUCACCGGCGACGGCGAACGGCGGCGAGGAAGAGGCGGCGGCGCUAGGAGCUCGGGCGGCUAGGGUUUCGGGGAGCUGCGGCGCUGGUUUUGGGCGGAGGAGACUGGGAGGAGGCGGCGGCUUUUAUAGGGCUUGGAGAUAGAGCCGGCGCGGGUUCAAAUCCCCCGGAGGAGUCGGAGCGGAUGGAGUCCGGGGCGGAGACGGCGCGCGGCGGUUGCGGAGUUCUGACCGGAUUCGGCCGGAGGUGGGAGACGAUGGGUGGGGUCCACCCGUCAGUGGCGGAGGGGAGCGGUAGACGGGCCGGCGCGACCGUGGGCUGGCGCGCGCUCGUGGGCUGCGGGGAGCGGGAGAGAAGCGGCGAGCGGGCGCUGGCGGAGCAGGCCGAGCGGAGGUAGAGCUGGGCCGCGGAGAAAAAGGAGGAGGCCGGCGGGCUGCUUCGCAGGCCGGUAAGGAUGAGGCGGCCGGGCCGAAGAAGAAAAAGAAAAGGAGGGACAAGGAGCUUUCGGCCGAGGGAAAAGAAGAAGAAAAAGAAAAGGAAGAAGAAAAGGGAAAAGGUUUUGGAAUUUGAAUUUAAAUCUGAAAUUCAAAAUUUGAUUCAAACUCAAGCAACCAAAAAUUAUGCUCCAGCAUGAAUGCACAAAUAAUUCCUAUGAUGAAUUAAUUGAAUUAAAGAAAAUGAAUUUAAAUGCCUAGAAAUUAAAUAACACCCUAAUUUGAGCAAAUUUUAAUGAAUUUGAAUUAUUGAAAUUUUGGGUGUUACAUUGGUACUACAUCUCAUGUAGUAGAGGCGAUUGUAAGAAGCAACUUGAAAAGAAGUUUGAUCACUACUAUUGCAAUAAAUGUGACAAGAGAGCCGAACCUAAAGCCCAGUAAAUUAUUUAGUAGUUUACAAUCUUAUUAUAAUACUUCUAUUUCUAAUAGGAGAAUAAUAUUUUCAGAUUCAAAUUAAGCUUCAAAUAAGUGAUCCAACAACAAGUGCAACUUGUGUACUUUUGACAAGGAAGCAGAAAUGAUAAUUAAUGAAUGAGCAGAUUCGAUGAUCACCUCAGUUGAUCAUGAUAAUAAGUAGCUACCAAAAUCAAUUCAGGAAAUAUGUGAAGAAACAUUGAUUUCUCAAUUCAGAUUGACCGAGUACAACUUGACAAGUUUUAGACCUGAUUAUACUGUUUCAAAGAUAUUUUUUCCAAAAGAAAAGGGCAGUUCAAGAAUUGGUAUGGAAAGUGUAAAAAAGGUAACACUUUAUUAUUAAUUUUUUAUUGCACUUUUUUCUUUUGAAUCCGUAAUACUUAAUAAUUUUACUAUAUCAAUGAAACAAAUUCUAACCUAAAUUUAUUUUCUUUUUUAUUAUUUGUAGGAAGUAGAAGACAACUCAGACAAAUGCUACACGAUAACUACCGAGAAUGAAGAGGUAGACACUGAUGACUCUUUUACCGAGAAAGUAACAUUCGUAGAAGAAGCCAUAAGGACUGGGGAAAGAUUGGCUAGAAAAGUAUACUCACUUCCAUGUCAGUGUUCAUUCUAUUUACAAUACAUGCAAAAAAAAUAUUAUUCAUGCAAAAUUGCAGGUCUACUAAGCAUUAAAGGAAUAGCGGAUAGUGCAAUAUGUAAUCUGAGCAGCAUGCAUUACAAAGUGCUCUACUGCAAUUAAAUUAAAAAACAUGAUAUAUGUUGAAUUCUUAGACUUUAUUAUUAUACUUUUCUACGUGACAAUUCACAAUUUUUUAGAAAAAAGAAGAUCCCAGAAGAAGUGACCAUGAAAAAAGGUCUAUGACCAGCAAUAAGAAAAAAUGCAAGCAUAGAAACAAAUCCGUAGAAAACAUAGAAAAUAAGGUACUCCAUAAACAAAAGUAUUCUCUUAUAUUUUUAUUAAAUAUUUUUUUAACACUUGACAAGUUCUUUUUUAGGAUCAAUAUAUCAGCAAUUCAGAUGUCAUUGGAGAUGAAACCUUAGUUCAUCCAAAAGGUCAAAAAAAAACAUCUGAAGAAAGGUGUUUGGCUGAAAAGGAAAAGCAAAAAAGUGGUAAUGCAGACAAACACAUGCAGAAAAAUAUAAAAACAUGUCAUAGGGAGGCAGACCAAUCUUGCAAGGAGGUAUAGACGAAACGUGAUACACGACCUGCCUACCUUGUCGUGGAUACCCCAAGAAGAUGUCAUAGAGGUGCAGACCAAGCUAGCAAGGAGGUCGAAACGUGAUACACGGCCUGCCUACCUUGCCGUGGAUAUUAGCCCUGAGAUCAUUCUACUGUUCAAGGAAUAACACUCAAUGCUGCUGCUGCUGCUGACCUGGCUCCAUAAAGUUAUACUCCUCUAGGUGCUUGCACUAACUUUAUCUGAAGUAUUAUUCUCUCUGCACUGUAUAUAUGGUUAUGGAGUUUGCUGGAGUAUCCGGGGCGAAGAACCUACAUAAUACGUCUUGGAACUAAUUGACAUUGAUUCACAGACAAACUCUACAAGGUGCUGUUCUUGCCAUUUUAGAGCAUCCAAAGGACUAUAAAUAACAUAGUUUACCAUAUACCAUAUACCAUAUACCAUAAUAUGUUAGCUAAAAUAAGAGCAUACACAUGUUGCAGGAGUCCAAAAGCACCGGUUGAGGACCAGGUACAUUGAAUUACUAGAAAAAGACAGGGGACAAGGUUUAGGUAACCACAUGAAACAUUUGAAUUUAUUGUACUAUGAACACUUAGUUACCAUGCCAGGAGCACAUAGUUAACACUAACAUUUAGCCACUUUAGAUCAUCCCGAAUCACCAAUGACCCUCAAUAGUGACAAAUUUUGGUUUAAAUGCCAUCACCAAUGAUCCUCAAUAGUGACGUAUUUAGGUUUAAAUCCCGUCACUAAUAACCCUCAAUAGUGACCUGUUUUGGUUUAAAUCUCAUUACCACUGAUCCUCAAUAGUGAUGUGUUUUAGCAAAACAUGUUAUCAAUGACUUGUCAUUGGUGACGUGUUAAAACGCGUUAUCUCAAUGGCAAAUCAUUGGUGACGUGUUAUCUCAAUGUUAUCAAUGUUCUAUUCUUUUCAACAAUACCAGCUCGUUCCUCCGUUUUUAUUCCACCAAUACAAGCACCACCUUGUAACAUUUCCUAUGUUUUUUUUCCUUUUGUCUGUUUUCUCACUACAUGCGUUGCUCUUUCAUGCAUUUUUUUCCAUUCCUGUAUUCCAAAUAGGUCUACAUGAACACAAAAUGAACUAGGGGACAGAAAAAGCCAGUGAAGCCAAUUUUGAGCUUCACCAGCUACUUGCUACAUAAAGUGUGCUAUAGUGACGUGUUUUAGCAAAACAUGUUAUCAAUGACUUGUCAUUGGUGACGUGUUAAAACGCGUUAUCUCACUGGCAAAUCAUUGGUGACGUGUUUUAAAAAAACAUGUCACCGUGAGAGUCAUUGGUGAAGGGUAAUUAAAAUGCGUCACUAAUGUUGUAGCAUUAGUUAUGAUAAUUUAGUAACGCAAAAAUCUACCAUCAGUAUUGAGCUUUAGAGCCAUCGCUAAUGUGGGUUUCUUACAUAGUGAUGCAAGCUCUACAAGGUGCUGUUGCUGCCAUUUUAAAGCAUCCCAUGACUACAUGUUAAUAACAUAGUUUACCAUAUAUCAUAAAAAUAUUAGUUACAAUAAGCACAUACGCAUGUGGAAGAGUCCGAAUGCACCGGUUGAGGACUAAACACAUUGAAUUACUAGAACCAAAUGUAUGUUUAGAACAAAGACAGGGGUCAAGGUUUGGGUAACCGCAUUAAAAACAUUGGAUUUUACUGUACAUGAACACUUAGUUACCAUUACCAUGCCUUGAGCACCUAGUUACAACAAACAUUAAUUUAGCCACUUUAGAGCUUCCAGAAUCGCUAUAAAUAAUAUACCUACGCCGUACCAUGAAAACAUCAAGAAGAGAGACGGAUACAUGGACCACCAUCAAGCGAGUAGUGACAGCACGCACAAGAAUACCCGGAACCUGUUAGCUUGUCUGUAGUGAUCUGUUUUCUUCCCCAUAAAAUCCAUGAGUAUUGCCACAAAUAAUGAAAGAGGCUGACCAAGCUAGCAAGGAGGUAGAGCAAACGUGAUACACGGCCUGCCAAGAUUGCCCUGGAUACGCCAAUAAGAGCGACAGAUACAUGGAUCACACCAAUAUGGUGAAACGUAUAUUCAUCACACAAGCAAAGCUGGUCAGUUUAUCCAUGGUCAAAUUGUGGUCUUUGUUUUCACUUGAGAGCUAAUUGAGGCACUAUAAUAUGGGCAGGCCUAUCUUCAACAGACAUGACAGCUACAGGGAACUUGACAUAAUUUGCUGGGCCGCCUGUGCACAAUUAUUUGUUUUAUUGUCCUUGCAUAGAAUGCUAAAAUACUCUUUACAAAAUGUUGGAUCUAAUAUUUGAAAUAUAGAGUAGUAAUCAUAUAUUGAUCAACAACUUGAAAUUAUCUGUACAUUCUCGGUGAAGCUGUUGAACUAAUUUUUGCAAAUUAUUAAUUCAUCUCAUUACGUAAAGAAAAAAGUAAGUGGAUAAGAUAUUUCGUGGACCACAUCACUGCAAACAUGUCAUGGAGAGACAGACCAAGGAGGCAGGACGUGAUACACGACUUACCCUAGGUUGCCGUGGAACCGCCAAGAAGAGAUACAGAUACAUGGACCACACCAUCUUGGGAGUAGUGACAGCAUAUAUGCAGAAGAAUACCCCGUGCCUAUUUGCAUGCAUGUCUCAAGUGAUCUGUUUUCUUCAGAAAAUACAUGAGCAUUGCCAGAAAGAAUGGCAAGAGACAAACAUGUCAUAGAGACUUGCAUGUCUUGCCUUGGAUACGCCAAGAAGAGGGACACAUACAUGGAUAACACAAAUCUAGUGACACGUAUAUUCAUCACAAAGGCAAAUCUGAUAAUUUUAUCCAUGGAGCAGACCAAGGAGAAAUUGAUGACGGACAUGUGAUCUCUGUAUUCAGUUGAAAGCUAAUUGAGCUACACUAAUAUGAGCAGGACUAUAUUCAAGAGACUUGUUGAGAGCUACAGGGAACUUGUAAUAAUUUGCUGGGCGGCCUGCGCACAAUGAUUUGUUAUACAUAGUUGAAAUAUUUCAAGAAUUUAUCAACCUCAUACUCUGAAACCCUUGGUGCAAUGUACUCUGCUUUCCGAGGUAGACUGUUCACGUAAAAUGAGGUCAUGCGUAAGACGGAAUCGGAUUGGAUUCACAGGGAAUCAGAUUUGGAUAGCACCUUUUAGCAGGUUUUUAGUCAAAUGCAAAUUCGGAUCCACAUGUGGUUGAAUGCGAGUUCAAAAUUCUACUUGGAUAUCCAUUUAAUUUAGGUGAUAGCAAUUAGCACAAAAUGUUGGAUGAACAAAAUCAUAGUUAGACAUACAAUUACAUGUAUGGUUAAAGUAUAAUACAAUACACCAAGAUUAUUCCUUGAAAAUAUUUCUUAAAAAUAUUAUAAUAAAUGAAUAAAUAUAAUUGUGGCCACCAACAAAUAGUCGGUGGUCGCUAAGUUGGAGCCAUUUCUGGUUACUAAUGCGGCCUUCUCCUCGACCAGCGACGACAGCUGAGCUUGUUCCUUCUGACACUAAAUCAUCAGAGUCUUCCCUCCACUACUAUAGAAUGCACCUUUAGCACCAAUUGGGAAAUCCCCUUCAGUAUUGGAUGCUGCAACCAGUGCUAUAUAUCAAAAUGGAGACUAAAAGCCUCGGUCUUGGGUACCGGUUGCAUAACGCAUUACUAAAGGAGGCAAAAGAGAAAUGUAACAAAAAAAAUAUUUUGAAUUCCAAGAAUGUUUCACUAUUCAAGAUGACUAGCUGAGAGUCAACAGACAAGAUACUAGGAAUGUGGGUGCUUGAAUGCAUUUGUACAGAGGUCAUACUAUUUACAAACUCUUCUAUGUUUCCAUAUGACUACCUACUUCAAUGUCACGCGAGCCAUUCAGCUGGACACAUGGCACACUAGCUUGCAUGUCGAAUCCAUGAUUAAUUAUUUGCACUUGUGAUCUCUUACCAGUAUUUGUCCAGACUAGAAACGUGCAACACAUUUUUAGGAUAUGGACACGCAUAUAUUUGGACUAGUAUACAGGUCACCUUUGGAUGCGUACAAGGAUGACCGGGAGGGACUAAUGGAUACAAGGAAGGGACCAUCAGGAUUAAUAUUGACAUAUGCCACAUGACAAUCUUCAUUGUCAUGCAAUCCCUAUCAACAAUCAUGGAAUCCCUAGUGUACUAAUCCCUGGAGGGUUGUGUGGAAAUUUAUUUUACCUUGCGGUGAAAAUCUCAUGAGCAGUCAUUAGUUAAGCUGACUAGCUGAGAUAUAAUAGACAAGCUAGUAAGAUUGGGAGCAUCAAUGCAUCCAUACAGGGUCACAAUAUCCUUUCCAUUCACUUUUAUAUAUAACCCUACGAAUACAAGUCCAACGAAAUGCGGGCCUUUCGAUCAAGAUAAAUUAAAUGGCCCACUUGUAUUUCUAAUCCAGGAUUAACUAUGCCCUCUGUUCAUCUCUUGCAAGCACGUGCAACACAUUUUCACGAUAUGGACAUGCAUGGAGGUUAUUAUACUGUUUGGACAAACUCUGAUGUGCCAUGACCUAAAUGCUUAGGGCCUGUUUGGUUUGAGUUGCUUAUUAUAAGCAACUUAAAGUUGCUUAAAGUUGCUUAUUUGAAGUUGCUUAUUUUUAGUCUAAACUGUUUGGAUACCCUUGCUUAUGAGCAUUGAAUGAGUUGGACAUUGUCAAAUUUGCCCCAUGUGUUGCUACCCCUCCAAUUUGCCUCCCCACCCUUCUUCUUCCUGCACACGUCCGAUCCCGGGGGCCGACGGCGGGCAGGGAGCAGCAGCAGCUGGCCAGGGCGGCGGUGGGGCGGGAGCGGCGGCGCACACCAGCACGCGCUCGCACGCCAGGUGCUAGGGCGCGGCGAGGCAGUCGUCGUAGCCCACCGGGAGCGGGUGCUCGGGCGCGAGGCGGUACUCGACGGAGAUGCCGAGCGUCGGGCGCGCGGCGGCGAGCGCGUUGAGGAAGCGAUGGUAGUGCGGCGACGUCGCGGACUCCGCCACGAAGCCGCCGCCGUGGACGUACACCACCACGGGCAGCUUCGUCUUGCCGUCGGCGGCCGCGGCCGCGGCCUGGGGUGGCAGGUAGAGGCGGACGGAGCAGGAGCCGAGGUCGACGUCCCUGGAGUCGACGCCCGUGGCGGCGUCCAGGCUGGGCCCGACCGGCGGCGGCACGAGCGGGCGCUCGAUGCGGCCGCUCUUGUAAAUCCGACGGGUCUGUGCGGAGGCGGGCGGCGGGCGGGAGCGGCGGGUGGGAGCGGCGGCAGGUGGUGCGGAGGCCGGCGGCGGCGGGUGGCGCGGAGGAAGGGGAGCUGGUGAGUGGUGACAGGGGAGGGGGGGAGAGAGAGGGGGGGUAGGGUGCAUUGAAUGAGGGCAGGAGGUGUAAAGUGCACCUUUUAGUCCCCAUGAGCAACCAUAAGCAGCCCAAGAGUUGCUUAUUUGCUUAUAAUAAGCAACCUCAUAAGCAAGAGUGAUUGGUUUCAUAAGCAACUUAUUUGCUUAUUUUAAGUUGCUUAUGCAUAAGCAUGUGAAACCAAGCAGGUCCUUAACCUAUGGUUGUGGCACCACACAGUACAUAGUAUUUAAUAAUGCUAUUCGUUUGGUAUGUGCACAAGGGCACGCAUGAAAUGUCUGGCCCACGGUAAACAAGUACGGACGCUGCAAAUAAUCUACUCUGCUCGUCCAGUCCCUAGCCUAUAAAUAGAUGCCAUGCUAGCUCUUGUUGUGCUCACAAUUAAUCCUGACUACACACGAGCUUCUCUCCCUGGCCAAGACACAAUCAUAGUAUGAUGAAGAACAUGGCACUAGCCGGCAAUGGUAUGAAGAACUUAAUCCUCGCUGUUCUCUUACUGUGUCUAGUUAUAGGGCAGAUACAAGUGGAAGCUAAGAGCUGCUGCCCAUCCAUUACUGCAAGAAAUAUCUACAAUGCCUGCCGUAUCACGGGUACAUCCCGUCCAACGUGUGCAAAACUGUCAGGCUGCAAAAUUAUCAGCGGGGACAAAUGCAAGCCCCCUAACGACCACCUCACCCUUGACCCGGACACUGGUAAAUAAUAAAUUUAUCUCACUUGAUUUCUUCGUGUUUUGAGUCGUUAAUGUAUUUUCCAUCUGAUGAAACGUAUUGGUUUUGCAUUGAAGAGGAAGUUAAUGUGCUUAACUUCUGCAAGUUGGGGUGUGCGUCGUCUGUGUGCAACAACAUCAACGCUGGUAAGCACCUUUUGCUCAGACGGAGAAAACAAUAAUCAUUAAUUAGCGGCAGCUAGAAUCCUAUAAUCUAAUAUAUUUAUAUAUAUAUAUAAUUUUAUCAGCUCUGGGAAAUGAAGAGGCGAACGAUGCCGUUGAGAGUUGCGACCAAGCCUGCUCUAGCUUCUGCAACGUGCACGUUGGCGCUGCCACCGUGGUUGCUUAAGCAAAUGCAUCCAACUGGAUCGUCCUUGUGCUAAAUAAUUGGAUAUCGUAUCCACUUAAAGCUGCCUUGUGUAGUACGUUUUUGUUUGUGUCUCUCUUUAUAUUCCAAUAAGGUCGGUGAUCUUGAUGCCACACACUCAGACGUGUGUUCAUCUCCAGAUACUACUCCAUGCUACCUGCCCUUUGUGUUUUGUUCAAUAACUGGGUAUCAUAUCCCAGCCAGUGUGCCAUCUGUUUUGUGUUUAUUUCCUUCUAGUUUCAAAGGGGUUAUCAUGAUGUUACCUUCUUUCGAUAUGGUGCUUUGCAUGACUACUGUUGUAUGGUACCAUCUUGUUGGCCAAUAAAUACAUCUUAUCCUAUGACCCUUUGCUAUGACCCUUUGCAAAUAAGUACAAGAUUGUUAAAUACUCGGUAUAAAUUGACUACUGCUGUGAGUUCCCUUUCAGCUUAUCGUAGGCAUACAUUAUUGCUAGCACGGUGAAGACAACCAACACGAAUGGUCAAGUAAACGUACCGGUACUUUUGUAUACCAACACCCUUGCUUAAAUGUACCGGUGUUACUCCCCACUAGCACAUAUAUUCUUAUAUGCUAGCCGGCUUGAAAAUUAACCGAUUAAAAUAAUUAUUUCAAGACAGAAAUAACUUAUCGGCUUCUCGAAGCAUGUGUAAUGUGAAUUCAAGGACUUGAUGGAAGUUGAAUCGCUUAAUCUAGAUUGCUUUCAGGAUUUUGGGUAACUAAAUUUAACAUUUGCACAUACAAAUGUUAAUGUACAAAUAUUAAAUAUAGUUACCCAAGCAGAAUAUGAAGAUACUCUAUAGUAUAUAUAUACUAUAUAAAUCUAGUUAACAUUUAGUCUAAAUGUUAAAUCUAGUUACCUAAAAUCCUGAAAGCAAAAUGUAUAAAUAUAUAUCUUUUAAGGAAUCCCAAAGCAAGAGUUCAGUGGCAUUCUAUAGUCCCAUGCUGCUAGUUUGAGUUGGUCGAAGCCAACUUAAAUAGGAGAGCUCUCUCACUUCUCUAAAUACGUAACUGAAGGAGAGAAGGGGGCUUGGUUACACAACGCACGCACGCACGCAUAUUUGCGUUCUUUUCGCGUAACCAACCGCGUGACUUGAAACUUGCGACGUAGCGUGCUGCCAAGUCAAGUUGAUAUAACCUUUUUGCCGUAGGCGUGUAAUCUUUUGACAACGGUCAUUGGAGGUGAUAAGCACGCAGUCAAUACCUUAAUCCUGAGUUAAUAGGGCGGUUACUACUGCCAAUUAGUGGGGCAAUUUUGUAGGGGAAACGGUUAGCAGAGGGCUACCAUCUUCUCUAUAAGAAGUUCUGGAGACGUCCAGGAACACACAUGUACAUGUGAGAGACCCACGAAUUCCUUCCCAUCUCCCUUUUCCAUCUGGUGAAGUGUGCUAUGGUACUGAGCUGCUGGAUCUCGCCGGCUCUUCUCCUUGGCGUGCACCGAGGAGGAGGGUGAGCGGUAUCUCCGAGCUAUUGCCGUCAGGAAGCCUGCACGAGGGACAACAAUAAAGUUUUUGGGUAGCGCAACUACGCAACCGCUCGAUUCGAUCGACUAUGUUCUGCGCUGCCUCAUCUUCGAUCUGCACUGCAACACGUAACCCUGCAGCAAGUCUACACAAGGACGGAGCACUAAUCUGUAAGUCCUAGAUUGGUUUCUUACAGAGUUGUAGGUUACACAAGAUCUAGAAUUGUUACAUACUUAUUAUUAUGGGUUACAUGAUGUUUUGUACGGUUACGUCUAUUUUGCAUAUGCUAUUUUUACAUACCGUUUACAUGCAUAUGUAAUGGUUACGCCUAGCUAUUUGAAUCUAGAAUUGGGUUACAUAGCAGUAGCAAUGACUUACGUAAUAUGCCUCAUGUUUAUAUCUGGUAGAAUUUAACACGUAUCUCCAACAUAUUUUGAGGCAGUAUAAAUUUCAAUUCCUUUUGCUGCUCUGUUAAAUCCCGUCUUUCGUGUGGCCCAACACUCUAGUAUGCAUGUAGCACCAAGCUUGUUUGAGCCGCUUUGUGCUCUGAUUUUGCUGUCUGUAUCAGGUUGGACUGUUUCUUUGUCUUGCGAUGUAUAGCUUCAUAUCUUCUAGAGGUUAGACAGCAAAACCCGCGUUCUCUUAAGGCAACAACUCGAAGAAUCUGCAGCGCUCCUGAUAUAUCACUGCUGCAGAAACAAUCUUUAGUACUGAUUUCCAACCCCCUUUAGUAUCGGUUUGGCAAUCAGUACCACUACGUCGGUACUAAAGGGAGUUCUCUAGAAUCGGGUCAAAUAACUGGUACUAAAAGUGCUCCUCUACUACCAGUUGGUAACACCAAUAGGUAGUAACUUUUUUUGCACCCAAAAAAUUAAAGAAAAACAGCCGGGAGGCUCGCGCACACACGCAUCAUGAGUAAUAUGCGCGUGCAUGGUUUGUGGGAUUCCAACCCACGACCAAGCUAUAAGCACGUAGUUACAAAAAAAUUAAACACUUAGACAUUUUAGAGCAUCCCAAAUAACUACAAAUUCUUUAGUUUACCAUAUACCAUAAAAUAUUAGUUAAAAUAAGAGCAUACGCACGUCGGAAGAGUCCCAAUGCACCGGUUGAGGAUCAGACCAGGCACUUUGAAUGCACAUGCCAUAAGAUAAUUCUGCAGGACGAUGAUUGCAAUAAUGGACCAUCGAGAAGAUAGGGGCGAUGGGGUUGCCUCAUCAAUUAUGACUUGGCGCAACAAGACCAGCAAAGUCUUUAUCGACAGGGGUGGAUCAAGGGGUGGGGCGGGUAGAGCUCCAAUCUUCCUACCGCCGCUCGAACAAUGGAGCCCCCCUUAGCCCCUCCAUAAAUUUUUAGGUAGAAGAAAAAAGAAGAGAAGGGAAGGAAGGGGAAGAAUAGGGAGCCCCUCCUAAGUAGGUCGCCAUCGUGCUUCCCAACGCAUGAUCGCCGCACCGCAUCCAUUCCUCUACAAGCCUCCAGCGUCUCUCCUGCCGCUACCUCUGAACCAUGUGCAGCUGCAGACCCAACUAGUGUCUUGUCACCCAUCUCAAUCCCAACAGAGCGGCGGCUCCUGCCAGCACAAAUCUCCCUCCGCCUGUUCUUCACGAUCGAUGGCCACCACAAGCAUAAACCUCGCCUUCGCAUCCACGCAAAAGGGUCGCCGGUGUGCCUUCUCGCAUCGCUUCUCAGCCUCCUUCACUUGCGGCUGGCCAAGAACCGUGCCACCACCUCGGGUGCGCGCCACCGCUCCAGGGCCGCUACCCCAUGCGUGCGGCCGCCGCCGGCCACCACGCGUGUGCAACCGUGUCGCACCGCUUCCCUGCUCUGUGCCACCACUGCUACUGCACCACCAGCUCCACCACCUUGGGCUGGUCGCCAGGGUGACUGAUUGGUGGAUUAUUACUACAAAUAAGUUCCUUAUUAUCUGCAACUACUAUUAACUCAGGGAUACAUGCGUCUUUUGCUUCUCCUGUUAAUAUGUCCUAAAAUAUCUAGAAUGCCUUAUAUUUCUGGACGGAGGAAGUAUUUGAAUAAAAUGAACCAAUUUUAAAAAAUGUGUUGUACACUACUACAGAAAGAACUAUCAGUGUCAAACCCAAAAAUGUCGUCACUGCCAGUUUUGGGCAUCGUUGGUGAAAGGUUGGCGGUGAUGGGUAUCCCCUUCAACAACGGCACUAGAGCUAACAGUGAUUGACAUUAGAAAACGAAAAAGGGGACCCACCUAGCCACCCCUGCAACCCGGCUGGCCGUGCCUCCCGUCAUCCCCACCACCUCGCCUCCCCCGUGACCCCCCGCCGGCGCCCUUGCGCCUAGCCCCCUCGCCUGCCUGGCCGGCCACCCUCGUCACGAGAGAGAGGGGUGCAUGUUGUAUAAUUGCGUGAAUUUUUAAUGUUUAAUUUCAUGUAAGUUUCAUAUAAUAAAUUGUACAAGUUUUAUUGUAUAUAUGAAUUCCAUAUAUAUAUAUUUAUAAUUUAAUGUAUGGUUUCAUGUGUAUAUUUCAAUAAUGUGUAUAUUUAGUAGAUAGCCGAUUUUCUUUUUCUACAAGACAAGGGUUGAUGUAUAAUUACGUGUAUAUGUUUAUUGUACGGGCAAUUAGGACAAGUUUUGUAUAAAUUUCUUUUAUUUCAUGGUUGUUGUAUGGUUUCAUGUAUAUACAUUUAUUGUACUACUUGAGACAAUUUUUAAUUUAAUGUUUCUAUGGUUACAUGUGUGUAUAACUAAUUGUAUUAUUAGUUAAGAUGGGAGCCAAAGAGGAUGAAAGGUAUAUAAUGGAGCAGAUUAUUGCUGGCGGUAGUGGCUCAAACGUUGCAAGAACCUACAUCAAGGGUGAGGGUAGCUAGGUGGACAUGUACCUCAACAUGUCCAGUGAUGGCAAUGACGAUGAGGAGCACGAGCAUGACGUUUAUGAUAGUGCGGAACAAGACAUUGCAGAAUUGGAAGGUUCUAAUGAGGUGUGCUUCAUGUUGAUGAUCUGGUUGGCUUUUUUUCUUUGGUCACACCUUAGUUACCAUAGAACUUCGUCUCGGGAGAAGAUUGGAGGUGCUAUGGUGAUUGGAAUUUUAUUGCCUCCAAAUAUGAUUUCCAUCGAAUCAUAUCCCUUGUAUUUAUCUUCUUUUUAUUUGUGAGAGCAUCUUCUUUAUGCUUGCAAAACAAUUCAAGUGCACAUACUACACCUAGGGUGAUGAUUAGGAGUAGAAACAAUUGCCAACAAACGAACACCACAUCCUAAGAUUCUUAACUUGUGGUAUAAUUAGUCUAGUAAAAAGAAAGAUAAAAACCUAAUGGGUGUACGUGAGUGCAAUGCGUAUAUGCAUAUGAGUGGAAGGCAUAUAAGCAAAGAUAAUAUUUACACAUAGAUCUAAGCACCAUGUUUACAACUAAGUUGCUGAAUUUCUCCAUAGCUAUAGAGAUUAAUGAACCAAGGUCAAAACACCAUGUCUAUCCCAAGAUCAGUAAUUCUUUAUAGCACAAGAAAAAGAAAGCGCAUUGCAAAGUUUAUAAACCAACCAAUGCAGCAUGAAAACAAGAUGAAUAGCUAGCAAGGUUUAUUAAACUGAAUGAUGACGGUCUGCAAGCAAGUUUGAACACCAUCUUUACACAAGAUUGCAAAUGGAAAAUUCCCAUAUGAAGAACUAACAUGGAUAUGAAAUCAUUCAUCAUAAAGCGUAAAGAACAACCAAGCCAACCAUAUGCAAAGCAUGAAUGGAAUGCAAUGAAGGUGCAAGAGAACAUUUUUGGAUGAACCCAUUAUGAUGAUGGCAAAAUGCGCCGUGCCCCCCAGCCCCCGCGGUGAGAUCCCGCCGCUCGCUGCCGCCAGACCCUAUUAGGCCUCCACCGGCAGGUCCACCCACGGUCCCGCGCGACGUGGCAGCCUCUUGGCUCUCGGCGCUCGCGGCACGCCAGUGCUGGCGCAGCCCCACCAGGCGACUACCCUCCCCCCAUAAGGCCUCGGCCCCUCCCCAGCGCCGCCCCCCAACACCAGGACUGCCUGCUGCCCCCCACCGUGAGGUAAUCGAAAUCGACUGCUCAAUCUCUCAAUCUGUUGAUAUGAUGCACACGGUUGCAAAAAUAGAUGUGUCAAAAUAGAUGUUUUGCCAAUUGCUAUAGAUGCAUACGGUUGACAUGAAGUCAAAAAUGACAUUUGGUUCCUUGUAGGCAGUCAAAAAUGAAGAAGUCAAAAAAUAUUGAUCUGAAAUCAAUGUGGGAAAGGGCUAUGAAGACACGCAGGUAGAUUCCCUUGUGAACUUUUUAUGUCGUUCGUCUAAAUAAUUUUUUGCAAUGGGCAUACCCUACUCUGAAAUCCUGGGUCCGCCACUGAUGAUGAUGGUCUAAAAAUAAACCAAGCCUAGAUUAAUUAGCCACAACUGAAAUUAAGCAAAGGUUAAUGUCAUUGACCCUAGCUCUAUCCUAGCUUUUACCAAAGUUCCGGCACAUAUAGUGGUUGGGCCCACUCUCUCUGCUUCCCUCUCUGCUGCAUGCACGCACACGAGCAACGGGAGGCCCGACGAAGCCCAGAAGGGUUCGGCCGAACCAGUAUGAGCGCCGCUCCCUCCCAGCCUUCGCGCAGAUGCUCCUCCAACGUUCCUUGACCCCUCCCUCAGCGUCCCGUUGGGUUUAACAUUGCAGGAGAGGAGUCCCUUUUUUAAAAUCUCAACCACCUCCUCUCCCCAUUCACUCCACUCUCAUCUCCAUCAAACUCACCAAGAUCCGCACCGGAAAUCCCUGCUUACCACCAUGGCUGGCAAAGCCCUCAUCCCUUUCACCAACUUGGGCUUGACCACUGAUCUCGAUGGGGAAAUCACUCUGGCAAAUAUGCGUGUAACACUGCCCCCUUUGCCGAGGGUUAAAGCCAAAACACUCAGCAAAGUGGAUAGUACCCCCCUUUUUACCCGUUUUGUCAUGUAUAACGGACCCCUCUCAAUUCACAAUAGACAUCAUCAUAGGCAUUUAUAAUAAACAAUCACAGGCAUAAUUCACAAUCACCAUUACAAGCAUUAUUCAUAAAUAUCACAGACAUAAUCCAAAGUAAGCAUGAAACAAGCCAUAAAUCCAAGUUCAAGUCACAACUAAGUUUCAUCCAAGUUCAAGUCACAAAUGCAAUGUCUAAAUCCAUGGAGGCCAAGGAGACCACUGCGACAAAUCUUGGUCUUCAUUAUUCGAAGCCGCCGAUUGAUUCUGCACAUAGGAUAGGACAUUCUGAGCUAACAUCUAAAGUUGUCAAAAUUAAAGUAUUCAAUCUUAAGCACAAUGUGUCAAAUGACUCACAGGAGUAGUUGUGGGUGGCUGAGGCGGAGGGAACAGCAUCGAUGGCGGUGGCAAAGAUUGACCCAUGCUCGAAGCAAAAUUCUGCAUGUACUGGAACAUCUGGUCCAUCCUCAUCCGAUUUUCUUCCUCCAUCCUCUGCCGCUCGGCCUCUAACCUCCGCUGAACCAUCUGCUCCAUCCUCGCCGCCAUCUCCUCUUGUUGCUUCCUUGCUGCUUCCACCUGGGCCUACAAUAUUUCAUUGCAAUGUUACAAUGCAAAGCUAAAGUAUAGCAACCAACGAACAAUGAAUGGAAGAGAAAGAACCUGGAGAGCCUCCAUCUGGAACUGUCCAAUGGUUGGUCGUAGCCGUAUCGCCGGGCUCGAGUCCGUGCUCCUUGCUUGGAUCUGGGAGAGAGUGGCAGUAGAGGCCGUGUUGAUUACGCCGUCGCCAAUCCAAUAUCGGCCAUGCUUCUUGCCUCCUCCCACCCUCAUCACGAUUUCUCCAUCAAUAUCCUCAGAGCUUGAAUCGAAGUCUGGCCCGUGAACCUCCCUUGCCAUCACUGUAUAUUCCUUUGCCGAGUGCCCGAGAUAAAGCACUCGGCAAAUAGAAAACACUCGGCAACUUUACUGUUUCCCGUAGUGUCGCUAUUUUUGCAGGUUCUCGACCAGGCCAGUUCUUUGGGCCAACCUAUCAUUCACGACUUAAACAUACGGUGGCUGUAGAAAUGUUCUAUUCUUUUCAACAAUACCAGCUGGUUCCUCCGUUUUUAUUCCACCAAUACAAGCACCACCUUGUAACAUUUCCUAUGUUUUUUUUUCCUUUCGUCUGUUUUCUACAUGCGUUGCUCUUUCAUGCAUUUUUUUCCAUUCCUGUAUUCCAAAUAGGUCUACAUGAACACAAAAUGAACUAGGGGACAGAAAAAGCCAGUGAAGCCAAUUUUGAGCUUCACCAGCUACUUGCUACAUAAAGUGUGCUAUAGUGACGUGUUUUAGCAAAACAUGUUAUCAAUGACUUGACAUUGGUGACGUGUUAAAACGCGUUAUCUCAAUGGCAAAUCAUUGGUGACGUGUUUUAAAAAAACAUGUCACCGUGAGAGUCAUUGGUGAAGGGUAAUUAUAAUGCGUCACUAAUGUUGUAGCAUUAGUUAUGAUAAUUUAGUAACGCAAAAAUCUACCAUCAGUAUUGAGCUUUAGAGCCAUCGCUAAUGUGGGUUUCUUACAUAGUGAUGCAAGCUCUACAAGGUGCUGUUGCUGCCAUUUUAAAGCAUCCCAUGACUACAUGUUAAUAACAUAGUUUACCAUAUAUCAUAAAAAUAUUAGUUACAAUAAGCACAUACGCAUGUGGAAGAGUCCGAAUGCACCGGUUGAGGACUAAACACAUUGAAUUACUAGAACCAAAUGUGUGUUUAGAACAAAGACAGGGGUCAAGGUUUGGGUAACCGCAUUAAAAACAUUGGAUUUUACUGUACAUGAACACUUAGUUACCAUUACCAUGCCUUGAGCACCUAGUUACAACAAACAUUAAUUUAGCCACUUUAGAGCUUCCAGAAUCGCUAUAAAUAAUAUACCUACGCCGUACCAUGAAAACAUCAAGAAGAGAGACGGAUACAUGGACCACCAUCAAGCGAGUAGUGACAGCACGCACAAGAAUACCCGGAACCUGUUAGCUUGUCUGUAGUGAUCUGUUUUCUUCCCCAUAAAAUCCAUGAGUAUUGCCACAAAUAAUGAAAGAGGCUGACCAAGCUAGCAAGGAGGUAGAGCAAACGUGAUACACGGCCUGCCAAGAUUGCCCUGGAUACGCCAAUAAGAGCGACAGAUACAUGGAUCACACCAAUAUGGUGAAACGUAUAUUCAUCACACAAGCAAAGCUGGUCAGUUUAUCCAUGGUCAAAUUGUGGUCUUUGUUUUCACUUGAGAGCUAAUUGAGGCACUAUAAUAUGGGCAGGCCUAUCUUCAACAGACAUGACAGCUACAGGGAACUUGACAUAAUUUGCUGGGCCGCCUGUGCACAAUUAUUUGUUUUAUUGUCCUUGCAUAGAAUGCUAAAAUACUCUUUACAAAAUGUUGGAUCUAAUAUUUGAAAUAUAGAGUAGUAAUCAUAUAUUGAUCAACAACUUGAAAUUAUCUGUACAUUCUCGGUGAAGCUGUUGAACUAAUUUUUGCAAAUUAUUAAUUCAUCUCAUUACGUAAAGAAAAAAGUAAGUGGAUAAGAUAUUUCGUGGACCACAUCACUGCAAACAUGUCAUGGAGAGACAGACCAAGGAGGCAGGACGUGAUACACGACUUACCCUAGGUUGCCGUGGAACCGCCAAGAAGAGAUACAGAUACAUGGACCACACCAUCUUGGGAGUAGUGACAGCAUAUAUGCAGAAGAAUACCCCGUGCCUAUUUGCAUGCAUGUCUCAAGUGAUCUGUUUUCUUCAGAAAAUACAUGAGCAUUGCCAGAAAGAAUGGCAAGAGACAAACAUGUCAUAGAGACUUGCAUGUCUUGCCUUGGAUACGCCAAGAAGAGGGACACAUACAUGGAUAACACAAAUCUAGUGACACGUAUAUUCAUCACAAAGGCAAAUCUGAUAAUUUUAUCCAUGGAGCAGACCAAGGAGAAAUUGAUGACGGACAUGUGAUCUCUGUAUUCAGUUGAAAGCUAAUUGAGCUACACUAAUAUGAGCAGGACUAUAUUCAAGAGACUUGUUGAGAGCUACAGGGAACUUGUAAUAAUUUGCUGGGCGGCCUGCGCACAAUGAUUUGUUAUACAUAGUUGAAAUAUUUCAAGAAUUUAUCAACCUCAUACUCUGAAACCCUUGGUGCAAUGUACUCUGCUUUCCGAGGUAGACUGUUCACGUAAAAUGAGGUCAUGCGUAAGACGGAAUCGGAUUGGAUUCACAGGGAAUCAGAUUUGGAUAGCACCUUUUAGCAGGUUUUUAGUCAAAUGCAAAUUCGGAUCCACAUGUGGUUGAAUGCGAGUUCAAAAUUCUACUUGGAUAUCCAUUUAAUUUAGGUGAUAGCAAUUAGCACAAAAUGUUGGAUGAACAAAAUCAUAGUUAGACAUACAAUUACAUGUAUGGUUAAAGUAUAAUACAAUACACCAAGAUUAUUCCUUGAAAAUAUUUCUUAAAAAUAUUAUAAUAAAUGAAUAAAUAUAAUUGUGGCCACCAACAAAUAGUCGGUGGUCGCUAAGUUGGAGCCAUUUCUGGUUACUAAUGCGGCCUUCUCCUCGACCAGCGACGACAGCUGAGCUUGUUCCUUCUGACACUAAAUCAUCAGAGUCUUCCCUCCACUACUAUAGAAUGCACCUUUAGCACCAAUUGGGAAAUCCCCUUCAGUAUUGGAUGCUGCAACCAGUGCUAUAUAUCAAAAUGGAGACUAAAAGCCUCGGUCUUGGGUACCGGUUGCAUAACGCAUUACUAAAGGAGGCAAAAGAGAAAUGUAACAAAAAAAAUAUUUUGAAUUCCAAGAAUGUUUCACUAUUCAAGAUGACUAGCUGAGAGUCAACAGACAAGAUACUAGGAAUGUGGGUGCUUGAAUGCAUUUGUACAGAGGUCAUACUAUUUACAAACUCUUCUAUGUUUCCAUAUGACUACCUACUUCAAUGUCACGCGAGCCAUUCAGCUGGACACAUGGCACACUAGCUUGCAUGUCGAAUCCAUGAUUAAUUAUUUCCACUUGUGAUCUCUUACCAGUAUUUGUCCAGACUAGAAACGUGCAACACAUUUUUAGGAUAUGGACACGCAUAUAUUUGGACUAGUAUACAGGUCACCUUUGGAUGCGUACAAGGAUGACCGGGAGGGACUAGAAAUGGUCUAGUUUUGAUUGGACUACAAAACUUUUUGUACAGUGAAUAGAGAAUAUAUAUUAUUGUUGGAAUACGAGGUAGGCUACACUAUCGCAAUUCUGAUAUUCUACCGCGUAUAACCAAGAAGAACUGUCGUAUAAGGAUCACGGGAUUACCACUCGACGCACUACUGGUGCGGAAGAUGUAGAUAUGCGUCGAUGCAGUGAAGACGAUCACGUAGUCGUAUGUAGUCGAUCAACGUAGUCGUACAUAGUCGAUCACGUCCAGCAGCUCCUCAGCAGCUCGUCCACGUGCAGCAAGAUCGCCUCCGGUACCGCGGCUCGUCGUUGGCUUGUCGUGGCUCGUCGACGGCUCGUCGGCGGCUCGUCCAAGUGCUGCAGGCGCAACACCUCCAAGGUAUCCACACGUGCAGGGAGGAAGCGUCGCAAGCCGGACUGCUAGAUCCACGAGUUGCAACAGGCGAGGGCGUGGGAGGCGCGGCAGGUGUGUUUCGCCAAAAAGGUGUAAACCCUAGGGCGCCCCCACCCCUCUAUUUAUAGAGGUUCCUGACGGGCCUCUGGAUCCGAGGCCCAUUAGUACUUCUAAACCUAAUCCAACUCGGAUCAGAUCCGAAUUGGGCUUCCAGCCCCUUAAGUGUGUGACCCUAUAAGUUCGGAUACGUAUAGACAUGGCCCGAGUACUCCUACUCGGCCCAAUAGUCGGUAGCGGCCUCUAGCAAGACGUGCCAACUCCUAUACGCACACGAAGAUCAUAUCAGACGAACCAUCACAACAUAAUAUACAUGCUAUUCCCUUUGCCUCACGAUAUUUGGUCUAGCUUCAAGCCGACCGCUCUUUCUCAGUCCUGUGAUUCGGAAUCCCUUUGUAGGUUAACUCUUAACCGUACGUAGCAUGGCCAUGCAUUUUCGGAUCUGAUCACUCGAGGGGCCCAGAGAUAUCACUCUCAAUCAGAGAGGGGCAAAUCCCAUCUUGAUUGACCAUGUCUCAUAGCAUGCUUCUUGACAAACCUAAAAACUACCUUUAUAACUUCCCUGUUACGGCGUAGUGUUUGAUAGCUCCUAAGUAGGUCGAUCCACAUCUAGAAUACAUGCGACAAUUUCAGGUCUAAGGACAAAGCGUAUAUGUUGUUUAAAGAGAGAACUACUUCUCGUGUUGGGUCAGUCCCAGCACAUGUCUCCACAUGUGUCCACAUUAUUAGUUCAACAUCUCCAUGUCCAUGACUUGUGAAACAUAGUCAUCAACUAAUACAUGUGCUAGUCUAAUAUUCAUGUGUGUCCUCACAUGAACUCCGACUAGGGACAACUUUAGAAUAACCAUACAAGUAAAGAGUUUCACAUACAAUUCACAUAAUUGCAAAUCAAUUCAAGUAGCCUUCAAUGGAUAUUCAAUGAACACAACAUACAAAUCAUGGAUACAAAUGGAAUAUCAUCAUCUCUAUGAUUGCCUCUAGGGCAUACCUCCAACAGUCUCCCACUUGCACUAGAGUCAAUCUAGAAGGUACCUAAUACCCAUAGCUCUUACAUGCGCAUCAUGCUUAGCCUGCGGGAGUGGUUUUGUCAACGGAUCAGAAAUGUUCAGAUCCGUGUGUAUUUUGCAUAUCUUGAUCUCACCCCGGUUAACGAAGUCUCGAAUGAGAUGAAAUCGCCGCAUUACAUGUUUGUUCUUCUGGUGGUUCCUUGGCUCCUUUGCUUGCGCAAUUGCCCCAUUGUUAUCACAGUAGAGAUUCAAUGGGCUGGACCCAUUCGGGAACACACCAAGCUCAAUGAGGAAAUUCCUUAUCCAAACACCUUCCUUCGCGGCUUCCGAAGCCGCGAUGUACUCGGCUUCUGUCGUAGAAUCGGCCACCGUCUCCUGCUUGGAACUCUUCCAACUAACAGCACCACCAUUUAGCGUGAACACAAAUCCUGUUUGUGACUUUGAAUCAUCUCUGUCGGUUUGGAAACUAGCAUCGGUGUAACCUGUUACAACGAGCUCCUCCUCACCUCCAUAGACGAGGAAUAUAUCUUUAGUCCUUCUCAAGUACUUAAGAAUGUUUUUCACCGCUGUUCAGUGACUCUCACCUGGAUCAGAUUGGUGUCUGCUUGUCAUACUUAGCACAUAUGAAACAUCUGGGCGAGUACUUAUCAUUGCAUACAUGAUAGAUCCAAUAGCCGAGGCAUAUGACACUCUACUCAUGUGAUCCCGCUCAUCAGCAGUCGAAGGACACUGAGUCUUGCUGAGAUGUAUGCCAUGUGACAUAGGCAAGAACCCUUCCAUGCUGAACCGCUUCAACACUUUGUCAAUGUAAGUAUCUUGGCUUAAACCUAUAAGCCUUCUCGAUCUAUCUCUAUAGAUCUUAAUGCCCAGAAUAUAUGCCGCUUCCCCUAAGUCCUUCAUCGAAAAACUAUUUUUCAGUGAAGUCUUUAUGGACUCAAGCAUAGGAAUGUUAUUUCCAAUCAGUAAUAUGUCAUCCACAUAUAAGAUUAGAAAUACUACAGAGCUCCCACUAACCUUCUUGUAAACACAAGACUCUUCUUCGUUCUUGGUGAAGUCAAACCCUUUGACCACUUCAUCAAAACGAAUGUUCCAACUCCUAGAUGCUUGCUUCAAUCAAUAAAUGGAUCUCUGAAGCUUGCAUACCUUUCCAGCAUUUUUCGGAUCGACAAAACCCUUGGACUGUAUCAUAUACACGUCCUCAGUUAGGUUUCCAUUCAGGAAAGCUGUCUUGACAUCCAUCUGCCAUAUCUCAUAAUCGAAAUAUGCAGCCAAACUUGAUUGUCUCCCAUGGACUCUAUUUCGGAUUGCAUGGCAUUCUGCCAUUUUUCGGAGUCUGGGUCCAUCAUUGCUUCUGCAUAUGUCACAGGCUCAUCAUUGUCCAACAAUAAUAUUUCCUGCAUUUCGCGGAGCCUUGCCGACCUUCGUGGUUGUGGCGGUGCUUCUCUUGCCAUGGGUAUCUCAACUUGUUCUGCUACGUUAGCAUCACUCAUUGAUUCUUGCCCGAUCGGCUCAUCUUGAACUUCUUCAAGAUGCACUGUCUUUCCACUCUUUUCUCCUUUGAGAAACUCUUUCUCUAGGAAAACCCCGUUCCGAGCGACAAACACUUUGCCUUCUGAUCAGUUGUAAAAAUAAUAUCCCAAAGUUUCCUUUGGAUAUCCCACGAAAAUGCACUUAUCCGACUUGGGUGCGAUCUUGUCCGACUGAAGUCGCUUGACAAACACAUCACAUCCCCAAAUCUUUAGAAAAGACAAACUAGGAACCUUUCCAGUCCAUAUCUCAUAUGGUGUCUUAACUACGGAUUUAGAUGGUACCCUAUUAAGUGUGAAAGCUGCUGUUUCUAGAGCGUAUCCCCAAAAUGACAACGGUAGGUCCGACUGGCUCAUCAUUGAUCGAACCAUGUCUAACAAAGAUCGAUUACGUCGCUCGGACACACCGUUUCUCUGAGGUGAUCCAGGCGGCGUAAGUUGUGGAACAAUUCCGCAACUCUUUAGAUGAUUGCUAAACUUGUGGCUCAAAUACUCGCCUCCACGAUCAGAUUGUAAGGCCUUAAUUUUCUUGACACGCUAAUUUUCAACUUCAUUCUGAAAAUCCUUGAACUUUUCAAAGGUUUCAGACUUGUGCCUCAUCAAGUAGACAUAGCCAUAUCUACUAAAAUCAUCAGUGAAAGAUAUGAAGUAUUGGAAUCCUCCUCUAGCCGUCGUGCUCAUUGGUCCGCAUACAUCACUAUGUACGAGUUCCAACAAGUCUACUGCUCUCUCAGGAAAUCCUGUGAAAGACGUCUUGGUCAUCUUGCCUAGCAAGCAAGCCUCACAUGUCUCGUAUGAUUCAAAAUCAAACGAAGUUAGAAGUCCAUCAGAAUGGAGCUUCUUCAUGCGUUUUUCACUUAUAUGACCCAAACGACAAUGCCACAAGUAGGUAGGACUCAAAUCAUUAGGCCGAGGCCUUUUAGCACUUACAUUACAGACAGGUGAACCAUCAAGAUUUAAAACAAAUAAUCCAUUCACAAUGGGUGCAAAAGCCAUAAACAUAUUAUUCUUAGAGAUCACACAACCAUUGUUUUCACUCGCAAAUGAAUAACCAUCCUUCAUCAAGCAUGAAGGAGACAAAAUGUUUCGACUUAAACUAGGAACAAAAUAACAAUUAUUCAACUCCAUAAUAAAUGCUGACGGGAGGUGGAGUUGCAUCGUCCCGACGGUCAACGCAGCAACUCUUGCAUUAUUGCCCACGCGGAAAUCAACUUCUCCUCUUUCCACGCUUCUACUUCUUAUCAUUCCCUGCAUCGAAUUGCAAAUAUGAGCAACCGAUCCGGUAUCAAAUACCCAAGAAUUAAUAAUUGUAUCAGCGAGAAAUAUGUUGUCUAUGACAUUAACAACAAGCGUACCUGAGGUAGAAGUACUCUUACUUCCUCCAUUCUUCAACGAAGCUAGGUACUGCUUGCAGUUUCUCUUCCAGUGACCAAGUUCAUGACAGUAAAAGCACUCUUUGUCUGGAGCAGGUCCAGGUCCAGCUUUAACCUUGGGCGCUCGCUGGGUUUGGCUUGGAAAUUCCAGCCUUGCCCUUCUUCUUCCAAGAAUUGCCCUUCUUCUUAAAGCUAGGCUUGUUCUGUAUAGCCAUCACAUGGCUAGUACAAGCGCUUUUCUUGAUGUCUACCUCUGCUGUCUUGAGCAUACCACACAGUUCAUUCAAACCCUUCUCCGUCCCAUGCAUAUGGUAGUUCGAGAUGAAGUUCCCAUAGCUAGGCGGAAGAGAUGAAAGAAUGAAGUCAGUGGCCAACUCUUUGCCCAUUGGGAAGCCCAGCUUCUCCAAUCGCUGAGUGUAACCAACCAUGUUGAUUACAUGUGGUCCUACUGCUGCGUCUUCUGCUAGCUUGCACUCCAGAAAAGCUUUGGACACAUUGAACCUUUCAGUCCUAGCCUGUGUCUGGAACAUGUCCUUGAGCGCCACGAUCAUAUCGUGUGCCUCAUGAUUUGUUUCGAACUGCAUCUGCAGCUCGGGUUCCAUGCAAGCAAGCAUAAGGCAGCUUACCUCAAGAUUAGCAUCAAAUGCCUUCUUGUAAGCAGCCUUAACGGCAGCAGAUGCAUCAUCAGCAGGUACUGGUGGUAGUGGGGUAUCUAGAACAUCUUCCUUUUUAUCGGCCCUGAGAACAAUUCUCAGGUUACGGAUCCAAUCCGAGUAGUUUGUUCCAUUCAACUUGUCCUUCUCAAGGACCGAGCGCAAAGCAAACGAUGUGGUGGUGUUGCUAGGUGCCAUUUAAUCUACAACAAAAGUAAUGCAAAAUACACUAAGACAAACGUAUCCAUGAUAGAGCAAAUUACAUUAAACUAUUUUAACAGAAUCUACUCCCACUAAAAUCAAUAUCCCUCUAUUGAAACUUAGUGAUUCAGGAUCCACAACUAACAAGUCUACUAGUGAGCUUUAGCAUCACCGCUAGCAAACGAGGUAGAUCGGUAAGCAACUUUUGCUAAUCAUAUCACAUAUGACUCCUGUUGUUGGGUGACAUCUCCAUGUCUCGGCGCCCAACCAUUAUGCCCCAAGGUCCUUAACCGUUAAGAUGACCUCGUUAAGCAAACCAACCCUUAUGCGUGUAAGUGUCCGACACAAACCCGUCUAGUCAAGGAAAACUAGUGGCACCCUAAUUUCAUAGACCCACCACUAAUUGUACAAGACAUGGGACGGUGCAAGUUUUAGUUGGGAGGGCAUACUAACUUAAAUUUUUUGUGAGGGAUCGUUCUACUUCUAACAUCACAGCAUGCAGAAAGUAAAACAUAAACAGAAUAGCAUUCACACAGCUGUGACACAGUAUGGCCCGUUUUUAUAUGGUGAUCUCCAUCUCCAUAGAACCUGUUCACCAUGGUGAUCUCCAUCUCCAUGUUCCAUGUGCGCCAUCCUCCUGGUGAGGAGUCCUCCAAGAACUAGAACAUGCUAUUACACCUAAUAGCUAGUAAAGAAUCUAGUAAUGAAGAUUACAUAGUUGCUUGGAUCAUCACAGAUUGGUACGCAGACCAUUAAAUACAAUAAAGUGACAACACAUAUGGCUCCUGCCGUGUUGCCGUACGCGCGACACGCAGGUCACGAAUGAGUUACACACAUGCAUCACAUACACAAGGGGGCCAUACUGAUCACAAGAUACAUACAUACAUCCUGCAAAACAGAGUUAGGCGUCCUAACGUUCCAAACUUCGAAGGCCCGAAACUCCAUCUUCCAAGCCGAAUUUGGGAAAUCUAAUUUUGCCGAAAACGGCAAAGCGGUUGAAUUUCAUGUGUAACUUUUUCUGUAGAUCAAUUUUCAUAUAAAAUUCGCCCCGAUCCGAGAUCGUACCGAAAAGUUACGGCUGAUUUACCGAAGCAUACGCAUACGGCAAAAAUUCCGACCCCGGCAGUAGAUCCCAUCUACUAUUGCACAUCUAAUGCGCCUGGCGUAUGAUCCUGGAUUUCGAUUCGACCAAUCAUAUUGAUCUUCGCUCACUGCAACUGGAAUUACGUGUAUCACUUAACUCGUCGGCGGCUCGUCGGCGGCUCAUCCAAGUGCUGCAGGCCCAACACCUCCAAGGUAUCCACACGUGCAGGGAGGAAGCGUCGCAAACCGGACUGCUAGAUCCGCGAGUUGCAAUAGGCGAGGGCGUGGGAGGCGCCGCAGGUGUGUUUCGCCAAAAAGAUGUAAACCCUAGGGCGCCCCCACCCCUCUAUUUAUAGAGGUUCCUGACGGGCCUCUGGAUCCGAGGCCCAUUAGUACUUCUAAACCUAAUCCAACUCGGAUCAGAUCCGAAUUGGGCUUCCAGCCCCUUAAGUGUGUGACCCUAUGGGUUCGGAUACGUAUAGACAUGGCCCGAGUACUCCUACUCGGCCCAAUAGUCGGUAGCGGCCUCUAGCAAGACGUGCCAACUCCUAUACACACACGAAGAUCAUAUCAGAUGAACCAUCACAACAUAAUAUACAUGCUAUUCCCUUUGCCUCACGAUAUUUGGUCUAGCUUCAAGCCGACCGCUCUUUCUCAAUCCUGUGAUUCGGAAUCCCUUUGUAGGUUAACUCUUAACCGUACGUAGCAUGGCCAUGCAUUUUCGGAUCCGAUCACUCGAGGGGCCCAGAGAUAUCACUCUCAAUCAGAGAGGGGCAAAUCCCAUCUUGAUUGACCAUGUCUCAUAGCAUGCUUCUUGACAAACCCGAAAACUACCUUUAUAACUACCCUGUUACGGCGUAGCAUUUGAUAGCCCCUAAGUAGGUCGAUCCACAUCUAGAAUACAUGCGACAAUCUCAGGUCUAAGGACAAAGCGUAUAUGUUGUUUAAAGAGAGAACUACUUCUCGUGUUGGGUCAGUCCCAGCACAUGUCUCCACAUGUGUCCACAUUAUUAGUUCAACAUCUCCAUGUCCAUGACUUGUGAAACAUAGUCAUCAACUAAUACAUGUGCUAGUCUAAUAUUCAUGUGUGUCCUCACAUGAACUCCGACUAGGGACAACUUUAGAAUAACCAUACAAGUAAAGAGUUUCACAUACAAUUCACAUAAUUGCAAAUCAAUUCAAGUAGCCUUCAAUGGAUAUUCAAUGAACACAACAUACAAAUCAUGGAUACAAAUGGAAUAUCAUCAUCUCUAUGAUUGCCUCUAGGGCAUACCUCCAACAAUUAUUUCAUGUAAAUUUUUGACAAUUUUUUAAAAUUGUUUGAUAUUUUUUAAAUUUUUUUUAAAAUAACUUUGCCGAGUGUCCUAUUGUAGACACUCGGCAAAGCAGCCUUCACCGAGUGUUACCCCUGGGACACUCGGCGAAUUAAUGCCCGGCCGCUCAAGAAUAUGUGCCCGGCCCCCUCACUCUCCCGGCCCCCCUCACUCUCACUCCCCUCACUCCCUCCUCUCUCCCUCCUCUCUCCCUCUCGCCGCCGCCCGAAACCCCCGCCGCCGCCCGCCGCCCGGCAUGCCGCCCAGCGCCCCCCGCCGCCGCCCGGCGCUCCCGAAUCCGCCGCCGCCCGCCCGGCGCCCGGCCCCCGGAUCCGCCGCCGCCGGCCGCCCGGCGCCCCCGGAUUCGCCGCCGCCCGCCCGGCCCCCGGCCCCCGGAUCAGCCGCCGCCCGCCGCCCGGCGCACGGCGCCCCCGGAUCCGCCGCCGCCUGCCCGGCGCCCGGCCCCUGGCCCCCUGAUCCGCCGCCGCCCGCCCGGAUCCGCCGCCGCCCGCCCGGCGCCCGGCCCCCGGCCCCCGGAUCCACCGCCGCCCCCCCGGCCCCCGGAUCCGCCGCCCGCCCGUCCCCUCCACCGGAUCCGCCGGCGCCGGGGCCUGAAGAGAAGAGAAGAGGAGAGGAUGGUGGCGGCGGCGGCCGCGGCGGCGGAGCAGGUGGCAGAGCAUGCAUGAUUUUUUUUUAUUUUUUCAAUAAUUGUUCGCCAAGUGUUUUCUGGGCACUCGGCAAAGUCUUUGCCGAGUGCCCGACACAAAACACUCGGCGAACCAGUGUUUGCCGUCAAGAUUUUUGCCGUGUGUCGUUUGCCGAGUGUUACACUCGGCAAACGCUUUGUCGAGUGUUUUUGGGGUUUCGCGGAGUGACCCUGGCACUCGGCAUCACGCAUGUUUCCCUUAGUGAACUUGAAAUUAUCUGUACAUUCUCGGUGAAGCUGUUGAACUAAUUUUUGCAAAUUAUUAAUUCAUCUCAUUACGCAAAGAAAAAAGUAAGUGGAUAAGAUAUUUCGUGGACCACAUCACUGCAAACAUGUCAUGGAGAGACAGACCAAGGAGGCAGGACGUGAUACACGACUUACCCUAGGUUGCCGUGGAACCGCCAAGAAGAGAUACAGAUACAUGGACCACACCAUCUUGGGAGUAGUGACAGCAUAUAUGCAGAAGAAUACCCCGUGCCUAUUUGCAUGCAUGUCUCAAGUGAUCUGUUUUCUUCAGAAAAUACAUGAGCAUUGCCAGAAAGAAUGGCAAGAGACAAACAUGUCAUAGAGACUUGCAUGUCUUGCCUUGGAUACGCCAAGAAGAGGGACACAUACAUGGAUAACACAAAUCUAGUGACACGUAUAUUCAUCACAAAGGCAAAUCUGAUAAUUUUAUCCAUGGAGCAGACCAAGGAGAAAUUGAUGACGGACAUGUGAUCUCUGUAUUCAGUUGAAAGCUAAUUGAGCUACACUAAUAUGAGCAGGACUAUAUUCAAGAGACUUGUUGAGAGCUACAGGGAACUUGUAAUAAUUUGCUGGGCGGCCUGCGCACAAUGAUUUGUUAUACAUAGUUGAAAUAUUUCAAGAAUUUAUCAACCUCAUACUCUGAAACCCUUGGUGCAAUGUACUCUGCUUUCCGAGGUAGACUGUUCACGUAAAAUGAGGUCAUGCGUAAGACGGAAUCGGAUUGGAUUCACAGGGAAUCAGAUUUGGAUAGCACCUUUUAGCAGGUUUUUAGUCAAAUGCAAAUUCGGAUCCACAUGUGGUUGAAUGCGAGUUCAAAAUUCUACUUGGAUAUCCAUUUAAUUUAGGUGAUAGCAAUUAGCACAAAAUGUUGGAUGAACAAAAUCAUAGUUAGACAUACAAUUACAUGUAUGGUUAAAGUAUAAUACAAUACACCAAGAUUAUUCCUUGAAAAUAUUUCUUAAAAAUAUUAUAAUAAAUGAAUAAAUAUAAUUGUGGCCACCAACAAAUAGUCGGUGGUCGCUAAGUUGGAGCCAUUUCUGGUUACUAAUGCGGCCUUCUCCUCGACCAGCGACGACAGCUGAGCUUGUUCCUUCUGACACUAAAUCAUCAGAGUCUUCCCUCCACUACUAUAGAAUGCACCUUUAGCACCAAUUGGGAAAUCCCCUUCAGUAUUGGAUGCUGCAACCAGUGCUAUAUAUCAAAAUGGAGACUAAAAGCCUCGGUCUUGGGUACCGGUUGCAUAACGCAUUACUAAAGGAGGCAAAAGAGAAAUGUAACAAAAAAAAUAUUUUGAAUUCCAAGAAUGUUUCACUAUUCAAGAUGACUAGCUGAGAGUCAACAGACAAGAUACUAGGAAUGUGGGUGCUUGAAUGCAUUUGUACAGAGGUCAUACUAUUUACAAACUCUUCUAUGUUUCCAUAUGACUACCUACUUCAAUGUCACGCGAGCCAUUCAGCUGGACACAUGGCACACUAGCUUGCAUGUCGAAUCCAUGAUUAAUUAUUUGCACUUGUGAUCUCUUACCAGUAUUUGUCCAGACUAGAAACGUGCAACACAUUUUUAGGAUAUGGACACGCAUAUAUUUGGACUAGUAUACAGGUCACCUUUGGAUGCGUACAAGGAUGACCGGGAGGGACUAAUGGAUACAAGGAAGGGACCAUCAGGAUUAAUAUUGACAUAUGCCACAUGACAAUCUUCAUUGUCAUGCAAUCCCUAUCAACAAUCAUGGAAUCCCUAGUGUACUAAUCCCUGGAGGGUUGUGUGGAAAUUUAUUUUACCUUGCGGUGAAAAUCUCAUGAGCAGUCAUUAGUUAAGCUGACUAGCUGAGAUAUAAUAGACAAGCUAGUAAGAUUGGGAGCAUCAAUGCAUCCAUACAGGGUCACAAUAUCCUUUCCAUUCACUUUUAUAUAUAACCCUACGAAUACAAGUCCAACGAAAUGCGGGCCUUUCGAUCAAGAUAAAUUAAAUGGCCCACUUGUAUUUCUAAUCCAGGAUUAACUAUGCCCUCUGUUCAUCUCUUGCAAGCACGUGCAACACAUUUUCACGAUAUGGACAUGCAUGGAGGUUAUUAUACUGUUUGGACAAACUCUGAUGUGCCAUGACCUAAAUGCUUAGGGCCUGUUUGGUUUGAGUUGCUUAUUAUAAGCAACUUAAAGUUGCUUAAAGUUGCUUAUUUGAAGUUGCUUAUUUUUAGUCUAAACUGUUUGGAUACCCUUGCUUAUGAGCAUUGAAUGAGUUGGACAUUGUCAAAUUUGCCCCAUGUGUUGCUACCCCUCCAAUUUGCCUCCCCACCCUUCUUCUUCCUGCACACGUCCGAUCCCGGGGGCCGACGGCGGGCAGGGAGCAGCAGCAGCUGGCCAGGGCGGCGGUGGGGCGGGAGCGGCGGCGCACACCAGCACGCGCUCGCACGCCAGGUGCUAGGGCGCGGCGAGGCAGUCGUCGUAGCCCACCGGGAGCGGGUGCUCGGGCGCGAGGCGGUACUCGACGGAGAUGCCGAGCGUCGGGCGCGCGGCGGCGAGCGCGUUGAGGAAGCGAUGGUAGUGCGGCGACGUCGCGGACUCCGCCACGAAGCCGCCGCCGUGGACGUACACCACCACGGGCAGCUUCGUCUUGCCGUCGGCGGCCGCGGCCGCGGCCUGGGGUGGCAGGUAGAGGCGGACGGAGCAGGAGCCGAGGUCGACGUCCCUGGAGUCGACGCCCGUGGCGGCGUCCAGGCUAGGCCCGACCGGCGGCGGCACGAGCGGGCGCUCGAUGCGGCCGCUCUUGUAAAUCCGACGGGUCUGUGCGGAGGCGGGCGGCGGGCGGGAGCGGCGGGUGGGAGCGGCGGCAGGUGGUGCGGAGGCCGGCGGCGGCGGGUGGCGCGGAGGAAGGGGAGCUGGUGAGUGGUGACAGGGGAGGGGGGGAGAGAGAGGGGGGGGUAGGGUGCAUUGAAUGAGGGCAGGAGGUGUAAAGUGCACCUUUUAGUCCCCAUGAGCAACCAUAAGCAGCCCAAGAGUUGCUUAUUUGCUUAUAAUAAGCAACCUCAUAAGCAAGAGUGAUUGGUUUCAUAAGCAACUUAUUUGCUUAUUUUAAGUUGCUUAUGCAUAAGCAUGUGAAACCAAGCAGGUCCUUAACCUAUGGUUGUGGCACCACACAGUACAUAGUAUUUAAUAAUGCUAUUCGUUUGGUAUGUGCACAAGGGCACGCAUGAAAUGUCUGGCCCACGGUAAACAAGUACGGACGCUGCAAAUAAUCUACUCUGCUCGUCCAGUCCCUAGCCUAUAAAUAGAUGCCAUGCUAGCUCUUGUUGUGCUCACAAUUAAUCCUGACUACACACGAGCUUCUCUCCCUGGCCAAGACACAAUCAUAGUAUGAUGAAGAACAUGGCACUAGCCGGCAAUGGUAUGAAGAACUUAAUCCUCGCUGUUCUCUUACUGUGUCUAGUUAUAGGGCAGAUACAAGUGGAAGCUAAGAGCUGCUGCCCAUCCAUUACUGCAAGAAAUAUCUACAAUGCCUGCCGUAUCACGGGUACAUCCCGUCCAACGUGUGCAAAACUGUCAGGCUGCAAAAUUAUCAGCGGGGACAAAUGCAAGCCCCCUAACGACCACCUCACCCUUGACCCGGACACUGGUAAAUAAUAAAUUUAUCUCACUUGAUUUCUUCGUGUUUUGAGUCGUUAAUGUAUUUUCCAUCUGAUGAAACGUAUUGGUUUUGCAUUGAAGAGGAAGUUAAUGUGCUUAACUUCUGCAAGUUGGGGUGUGCGUCGUCUGUGUGCAACAACAUCAACGCUGGUAAGCACCUUUUGCUCAGACGGAGAAAACAAUAAUCAUUAAUUAGCGGCAGCUAGAAUCCUAUAAUCUAAUAUAUUUAUAUAUAUAUAUAAUUUUAUCAGCUCUGGGAAAUGAAGAGGCGAACGAUGCCGUUGAGAGUUGCGACCAAGCCUGCUCUAGCUUCUGCAACGUGCACGUUGGCGCUGCCACCGUGGUUGCUUAAGCAAAUGCAUCCAACUGGAUCGUCCUUGUGCUAAAUAAUUGGAUAUCGUAUCCACUUAAAGCUGCCUUGUGUAGUACGUUUUUGUUUGUGUCUCUCUUUAUAUUCCAAUAAGGUCGGUGAUCUUGAUGCCACACACUCAGACGUGUGUUCAUCUCCAGAUACUACUCCAUGCUACCUGCCCUUUGUGUUUUGUUCAAUAACUGGGUAUCAUAUCCCAGCCAGUGUGCCAUCUGUUUUGUGUUUAUUUCCUUCUAGUUUCAAAGGGGUUAUCAUGAUGUUAC
rnacentral:lncRNA from 1 species